rnacentral:lncRNA from 1 species
UCUCUGUCCAACGAGUCACUUAUUCCAGUUAAAGUGGUAUCCUUUUCUUUUGUGAGACUAGAACCAUGUACUUUAAUGUUCACAUUGGUGUUGCCCAUACGCCAAACAUAUCAUCAAGCUAACUUAGCUAAUUAUUACUCGAAAUCAAUAAUUAAAUGAGGAUGGAAACCUUAUCCAUUAAACAUUAAUCUUUGUCCCUUAUUAUUAUUUAAACUCGGGUAACAAUAAUGUAAAGUGCAUAUUUAAUUAUGACCAAUUCAGCUAUGCCUAAGUAAUGUCUGUCAAUAAUGUAGUGUCUAGUGUCAUAGAUUAAACUCGAACCGUCUCAUAACUAGGACAAGGAUCCUCUCUCUCUCUCUCUUUCCUUUUUUUAGUCUUAUAUCCUCUCUUAGUUUAAUGAAUAGCCAAGAAUGAGUUUGGAAUUUUAAUGUUGACAAUCAAAUCGACUUUUUUUUCACCUUAUUUAUAAUUAAGUCAACUCUUUUCACUAAAUUUAAAAAAACUAGAAAAGACUAGGAGAAAAAAAUAUUAAAAGAAGAUCCUAAUCCCAUAAGUUAAACUCAAACCAUGCAGUACUUAGUUUUGAUGAGUACAAAUUUAAGUUUUGAAUUUUGAUGUUGACAAACUUGAAAACCAUGCAGCACUAGUGCAAAGCAUGGCGAAUGAUAGCGCUCACUAAGCUUGAAAAGCCCAAUAAAUUGUAUAAAAGAGCAUAUUGAGCACUAGGGAUUGGAGCUUUUGGUGACUUGGCUCAAAUGAAGCCAGUUCUUUGUAAAUGGAGAAAUUACAUAUGUACAAGUUAUAAUAAGACUCAAUUAUAUCAAAGCAGAUUAGAUAGGAUAAGUUUGGAAUUUUUAUAAUUACAAUUGACCUAUACCUAGUAAGAGUGCAGAUCAUAAUUAUGAAACUCUACGACAAAUGUACAUAUCUAUUGAAAUAUGGAUCUUGAUGGAGUAAACAUGCAUCUCCUACUCCUAUCCUAUAAAGAGGUUUUAAUACAUUUACAACCGGAGGCAACAUGGCCACUGCUAGAGUUAUCACACCGGUAUCGUUAGAUUAUUAAUUUUGUUUAUGAUUUUAUCUAAUAGCAAUUUGUCGUUUUGUUUUUGGUUUCAAAGGGGCUCUUAAACAAUGCUAAAUAGUAACUAGGUGGGGGUAUGAAACGCCAUACAUAUCAUGCGUGAGAAAAGGAAAAACACCAACUGAAGGAUAGUUGAGAAUGUGAAGACCCAAGGGGAGAGAUAGGGCAUAGCUUGCAAUGAAAUCUAUCAUAAAAUUUGCUUUGCGAUAAACAUGGAUGACGGUGAUAUGCUAGUCACGUCGCAGGAGAUCCUUUAUAAAUCGAACUAACGGGAUGUAUUCAUUAGUAGAACACAAACGAUUACCAACCAGUUGAGUCACACAUAAGCUAUCCAAUUCCACAUUCAACCAGCAAAUACCUUUUUGCCAAAUGACAAACAAAUCUUGAAACAACCCCAAGAGUUCCGCAACAAUAACAAAACAAGAACAAAUAUUUAUUCAAAAGCCAACCAAUCAAAUAUUUAUGAAAAAGUCCUUCUAUAGGAUCCAAAUCCCCCUAGAGAAACCAGUAGCUUCAACUCUAGGGGAUUUAUCAAAGCCAAUUCUUUUAAUGAAAUCAUUUACUUUAUACCCACUGAUUCUAGGCUCUAGUAAAACAACCAUGACUAGCUUAUAAUUCUUGAUAAGAGAACCAAAAGAGCGACGGAAGACUAGCGAUGCCGCUCCCUGGACAUUCCAAAACAUGAUUGAUAAAGACAUAAAGAUAUGUACGAUAAAAGGAAGAAAUACCUUACAUUUUCAGUCUUGAGGCCUUGAUCUCCAAUUCCAUAGCUGAUUCAUCCACAAGCGAUAUAUCUCCAUCAAUAGAACUAGACUCGUUAUCACUUUCUCCUAUAUAAUCGUUAUCUUUCCCAUCAUCAUCCAUGUCGCUAGUGAUAGUUAAAAUGCCAGUAUCAGAGGGAUCACUGGCUAGUUUAGAUGACUUAUCAUGCCGCACACUAGUUAAAUUGUCCUUAGCUUGGCCACUGGAAGAGGAAGCAGCGGAACUGUUAUUGGUAGAGGCAACAGUGGUGAAAGGGAUAGUAGAGUGGUAUAAAGGAUUGAGACUGGUUGGGACGAUAGUGGGUACAUGCUGGCUGGUCUGGUUUACAUGGAUGUUUGUUUUGCUAUGUAAGGUGUGUGGGAGUUGUACGAGAGUAGCGUCAAUAGCAUUCGGUUGGUUGGCAGUGUUGGGGCCAUGAAUAGAAAAAUCCGCACGUAUGACAAUGCUUAGGUUGGGGGUGGAAUUUUGAUUUUUCUUUUUAAUAUGUUGAUUUCUAAGGACAAGUGGAAUAGUGGUACUGUUGGAGGUUGGCACAUUACAAUUCAUGGUAAUUGGAUACGACUUAUUAAUGCCAUGAUUUGGGUUCUCCUCAUUGACGCUGGCAAGAAUACCAAAUCGCGAUUCCUUGCCAAAAGAUCCCCAGUGACCACGCUCAGAAUCACGACCAAGCUCUCUUGCCUUAUCAAUAUGAGGUUUCCCUUUCCUGGAAACUACCAUCCAUGGCCCAAGUUUAGGGGUACUCUGGUUAUCAUCACUGGUUUUAUUGACCAUCUGCUUGCCGAAGAUGUUCACAUGUUGAUUUAGCUCCCCUGGGUUACCAUUUUCCUCUAUAUGAUUAGGGCAAGAUUCCUUAUUAUGGUCAUAUUUUUCACACUGGAAACAAAUAUUAGGAAGACUUUCAUACUCCACCUUCUGAGUUUUUCCAUCCAACAAAAACUAUAAAACAAGAGUUUUUUUAAGAUCAAUUUCAACCGCAAAUACAAGCGAAAUUUCCUCUUAUUGCUGACUCGAUAUUAUAAUCUGAUAGAAAGCAAGUGCAUGAGCCACGAAGAUCUGGAAGAAUCCCAAAGCCAAACCAUAAGUAUAUUACGUGAGAGCAUAAGUUGACUCCCAUGCAAGCCAUGCAUCACACAUGCAUGUGCAGUUUCACGUGUGGAAAUUGUAAAGAUGAGUACUGGAGCCGUGAUUUUGGGAUGACCUUAUCAAGUUGCUUUUGGGAUAACCUUAUCAAGUUCUUUUUUAUUAUCUUUUACGAAAUAUUAGUUAAGUCAUUAUUUUAAUAUUUGUUUUAUUGAUUUCAGCGGUGAUUGUAGGUUGAAAAUCAAAGUCUUGUUAUUAUAAAUAAGCUCCAGAAUAUGAAAAAAGGUAUUGAGAAUUCUAAACAACAAUUAUUUGGUCCUUUCUCGCCAUAAGCAGAAAAAUAUCACUUGUGCUACGCGUGAUCAUUGGCUGUCUCUGACUGGGACCUAUCAUAAUCAAUUCUAAUAACUGAUCCAAUUAUCUAGUUGAGCAUAUGAUGAAUUUUUUAUGAUAAUAAUGUAGAGCCAUGCCCAACAGGCAGAUCCAAGCUAUAAUCGAAUCAGUUUCCUCCUUAGAACUAUCAAAGUGAGGAGUUCAUGGUUGCACCGUUAAAUAGUGGUGUAAAAUUGUCCAAGGACCAAGAGUCAAAGCAAACUCGGCAUCACCGUUUGAUUUAAAGCGGACAACAUAAAAAUCAUUCUCAAGGUCAAUGAUAGAGAAACCAAAGGUCGAGCUCCAAGUUGCUUCCAGGCGAUUGCAAAGAGCUCAAUACCCUAUGUGACGUCACAAUAGCUUGACAACAACCGUAUGCUGCGAAGGCUUGAUAAGUUGGCCGUGAAGCUUUUGGGAGAAAGAGAUGGAGUGUAAAUUACCACAUCGUGUUCUUAAAAAAUCAAUUCAUCAUCAUGGCCAAUCAAAUCUGCUUCAACUUCCCUUUGUGAUUCCAUGAGUAUAUCCUUAAAGGAGAUAUGCUCACAAAAAUCAGAGAUUUCUGCAGACUCUUCCAAGGCAGAUCUCUCCAAUCCUUUCUUCCCUCACCAUUUGGUUAACCCUGGAUUGAUUCUCGUCUCCAAACCUCUAAAUGGAGAUAAUUACUUUGGUUGGAUAAGGGCUAUGGUUCAAGCUUUAAACUCCAAGAACAAGCUCGGAUUUGUCAAUGGUUCUAUCAAAGUUCCUUCAGAAGAAGUUGAUCCUGAAGGCUAUGCGACUUGGUCGAGAUGCAACGAUAUAGUUCAUUCCUGGAUCAUCAAUUCUUGCGAUCCAGAAAUAGCUGACAGUGUGACUUUUUAUCUUACUGCUCAUUAGGUUUGGGAACAUCUCUAUGAGCGUUUCUCUCAAGGCACAUCUUCGAGAUACAACGAGAUAUUGCUUUCCUUCGACAAGAGUAACUCUAUGUCUCUACUUAUUAUACUAAGUAAAAAAGUUUAUAGGAUGAAUUGGCAACACAUUCAGACAUAGCACAAGCCGAUCGACAGAAAUUGAUGCAGUUUCUAAUGGGUCUAAGCAAAACUUAUAGUGCAAUUCGAGGUCAAAUCCUGCUCAUGAAUCCUUUGCCUUCUAUUCGCCAAGCCUACUCUUCAAUCUCCCAAGAGGAGAAACUACGCCUCCUCAGUUCAACGCAUACAAGCACCGAUUCAAGCAGCAGAGAUGCUUCCAUGGUUGUACGCAGCAAGUCGAUUCCUUCGGCAACAGGAAAAACCGAACAAACUUGCUCUCAUGGGUUCCCAGAUUCUUGCGAUCGAACAUACUCUCAGGUGUAGGAAUUUGCAGGACCUCAAGAUGGAGAUUAGCAUUGAUCUGGCUCUAGGAGAGGUAGGGCUUUGUGUGACCACUGUGGAAAUUUCGGCCAUUAGAUCCAGAAAUGUUAUAAGUUGUAUGGAUACCCACCAGGCCAUCCUAAAGCUAAAAUGAACUCAGGCCAAAAUUCAAAUCGGCAUAAAGGUAUUUCUGUGGCUGAUCAAGUUGGAGAGGUGUCAAACACAAAUGAAGGCUCACUUACAAUAUUCGAUGCUCAACUCAAGCAACUUUUGUCACUCCUGAAUAAUCAAAAUAAAGGUUCUCACUCCAAAGCAAAUGCGGUAACAAACCCAGGUUUGUCUAAGAUUGCUUCCCGAAAUUUGAUUAUUGAUAGCGGGGCGACAUAUCAUAUUACUUCAUCAUCUAAUUUAUUGCAUAAAGAUAACAGUUGCUCGUUACCGCCCGUGUUGUUGCCUAGUGGAGAAAGAUAAAAUAUUGUUGCAAAAUGGUCCUUACCUCUCAAUUACGUCAGUUAUCUGCAUGAUGUGUUAUCUGUGUGUACAAUGGUGGGGAAUUUAACUGUCGCAUUAAAACAUUUCGAAGUGACAAUGGUGGGGAAUUUAUCUCACUUCGAUCUUUCUUUCAAGAUCAUAGUGUUGUUUUCCAAACUUCAUGCGUUUACACCCCUCAACAAAACGAGGUUGUGGAACGCAAACAUCGCCAUAUCUUACAAUAUCCGAUGCUCAACUCAAGCAACUUUUGUCACUCCUGAAUAAUCAAAAUAAAGGUUCUCACUCCAAAGCAAAUGCGGUAACAAACCCAGGUUUGUCUAAGAUUGCUUCCCAAAAUUUGAUUAUUGAUAGCGGGGCGACAUAUCAUAUUACUUCAUCAUCUAAUUUAUUGCAUAAAGAUAACAGUUGCUCGUUACCGCCCGUGUUGUUGCCUAGUGGAGAAAGAUAAAAUAUUGUUGCAAAAUGGUCCUUACCUCUCAAUUACGUCAGUUAUCUGCAUGAUGUGUUAUCUGUGUGUACAAUGGUGGGGAAUUUAACUGUCGCAUUAAAACAUUUCGAAGUGACAAUGGUGGGGAAUUUAUCUCACUUCGAUCUUUCUUUCAAGAUCAUAGUGUUGUUUUCCAAACUUCAUGCGUUUACACGCCUCAACAAAACGGGGUUGUGGAACGCAAACAUCACCAUAUCUUACAAGUAGCCCAAGCAUUAAAAUUCCAAGCACAACUACCAACCCAAUUUUGAGGCGAAUGUGCACUCACUGCUGUACACAUCAUCAAUAGGUUACCUUCACCUGUUAUUUCCUUCAAAACUCCUUACGAACUUCUCUAUUCAAAACUGCCUUCAUUUUUCCCAUCUUCGUGUUUUUUGGUGUUUGGCCUAUGCCACUAAUGUUCACACUUCUCAUAAAUUCGACUCUCGUACUAUACCAUCCAUCUUCAUUGGUUAUCCCAUCGCUCAAAAGGGCUACAAUUUAUUUAAUUUAUCAAUUAAAUAGAUUUUUACAAAUCGAGAUGUAAAAUUCCACGAAAUCAUGUUUCCUUACUCAUCCGUCCAACCCCAAUUUUCUCUUCCCCUGACAACCCAAUUCCUUUAAUUACUUCCUCCUUUGACUCAUCAUUUCACUCUAACGUAAUUCCACCAAGCCUCAUUCCCUUAUCCCACCUCUCUCCCAAUUCUCCCAAUCAAAUUUCCUCUCAUCCUCCUACGGUAGCACCGCCUCUUCCCCUACCCAGGCCAUCCUUCGCACUUAUUUCCGUCGUUCUAAACUUGUUGCCCCAUUAGUCUCAAAUGACCCACCUUUUUAAUUCCAAGUUCGACCAAAGGUACACGAUAUCUACUGGCUAAUUAUAUUUCAUAUCACCGAUAUAAGCUUGCUUAUCAGACCUUUAUUGCUCAAAUCAGUAAUCUCACAUAACACUUGGUCUUUUACCCCUCUUCUGACUGGUAAAACUCCAAUUGGCUGUCGUUGGGUUUACAAGAUAAAACAUAAGUCAGAUGGAUCCAUUAAAUGGUAUAAGGUGCGGCUUGUAGCCAAGGGUUUCACUCAAUUGGAGGGAGUUGACUACCAGGAUACUUUUUCUCCGACAGCGAAAAUAAUUUAUGUUUGUUGCUUGUUGGCGUUAGCUGCUGCCCGUGGUUAGUCUCUUCAUCAACACGACGACAGGGGGAGGAACACUUGGUUUGUCGCCUUCACAAGUCAUUAUAUAGGUUGAAACAUGCAUUUCGUCAAUGGUUUGCUAAAUUCUCUGAGGCCAUACAUUCAGUCGGAUAUGUACAAUCAAAAGUUGAUUACUCUCAGUUCACCAGGAAGGAAGGCAAGUCCUUUAGUGCCUUUUUGAUAUAUGUUGACGACAUUUUAAUCACUGGCAAUGAUCUUGUGAGUAUAAUCGAUAUCAAAAAAUUCUUGCAUAAUCAAUUUCACUUUAAAGAUCUAGGAGACUUGAAGUAUUUCCUUGGUAUUGAGAUUUCUGCAUCUAGGAAAGGUAUUUUUAUUUCUCAGAGAAAGUAUGCGUUGGAAAUUAUAAAGGAUACAGGGUUAUUAGGGGCAACUCCCAUUGAUACUCCCAUGGAACGUGGCUUAAAGUUGUUUGAUAAAAAUGAGCCACUCAAAGACCCAAGGUGAUAUAGGUGAUUAGUUGGAAGAUUAAUAUAUCUCAUAGUUUUGAGGCCGGAUAUCAUGUACUCUGUCUAUAUAUUGAGCAGAUUUAUGCACCAACCCCGGAAGGAUCAUUGGGAGGUAGCCAUACGGGUUGUACGCUAUUUAAAAUCUGCUCCUGGCCAAGGCCUUUUCUUCUCCUUAAUUAGUGAUCUUUGGUUGCGAGCAUAUUGUGACUCGGACUGGGUAAGAUGCCCCCUUACAAGAAGAUCUACUACAUGGUAUUGUGUGUUCUUGGGCCCUUCGUUGAUUUCGUGGAGAUCGAAGCGCCAAAAAACCGUCUCAUUUUCCUCAGCCGAAGCAGAGUAUCGUGCGAUGACUGGAGCUUGUUUUGAAUUAACAUGGCUUCGUUACUUACUUAGAGAUUUGGGGAUUUUACAUCAAGAGGCUGCAUUGCUAUAUUGUGACAAAAAGUUGCAUUACAUAUAGCAACUAAUCCAGUUUUUCAUGAGUACACACGGCACAUAGAGAUGAAUUGCCAUUAUACAAGAGACAAGAUACAAGAUGGUUGUGUGAUAACGAGAUUUGUGAGUUCCGCGAAUCAGUUUGCUGAUGUGCUGACCAAAGCUUUGGGAAAAGAAGUUUUCAUGCCUAUGGUUCUCAAGUUGGGAGUGCUAGACAUUCACUCUCCAACUUGAGGGGGAGUAUUGGAAAGUAGAAUCCAUUUAUUCAUUAUAUUGAGUUGUAAAUAUAUCCUUCUAUAUGUAUUCCUAAAUUACAGUAGACUUUGAUUGCAUAGCUUAAUUAUAAGGAUCCUAUCUUAACUAUAUGAAUUGAUGGUCGUGUAUAACAAGUCAGUCGUAUGUGUAUAUAUACUCAAUCAAAUGUCAAUAAAAUUAAUUCUGCCCAUUUUACUUUUCAUUCAUAUUUGCAUUAUAUAGUUGAUAUAAUACCUUUGCUAUAUUUUAAAAUUUCUCGAGCCUAGCUUUUGGCAUAACUUCAAGGAUAGAUUUGUGAAUUUAGAAAGAGGUUUCUUCUUGUAAAUUGUUCUUUCUAAAGUUUUUAACAAUAAAGAAAUAAACGUAUUUUUAGUUGGAAUUAAGCAACUAGGAGGCUGAACAAUCAAAACCUGUGUGUACUCAUCUUUUUAUUUUGAUCUGUUUCUUUUAUUAUUCUUACUUCGAUUUUUGUGAGUGUCAUCUUGAUCCUGGGGUGUUUAAUUUGUAUUGUAAAAAUAUAUUCAAACCCAACAUCAAAGAGAAGGGCCCUUUUUUUUAUUUUGGGUUGUUAUUCCCAGCUUUGUUUAUAAUCAAAACAAAAAGUCCUUUUGAUGCUUCAAACGCUAGGCCAAAUUCUAUUAACUGUAGUGCUGUUGGGUGACCGAGGCUUCUUAGAGAAACAUAGACUAGAGAACCGACGUCUUGUAAAUCAUGCCACUAUAAACAUUUGGUCCUGUACACCAAAUUUUAUCCCCUCAUACGUUUCAAAAUUUUUUUGACAUAGGCUUUUCCAAUUCCUCAAAUGUUUUCACCUAACCCUAAUGUAAUUAGAAAAGUAAUAUGACAAGGAUGCUCUUUUUGGGCUAAAAGCAUAACAUUGUAUUUGAUGAUUUAGCGCAUACAAAUGUAUACGGACUAAUCAGUUUACAUGUUAUAAGAGGUCAUGAGUAUUCUAUCAAUCUUGUUGAUGAAUAUUCAUUUUAAUUUAUGUUUGUCUAAAUGCGUCAUGAUUCCAUUGCUUUUGAAAUUCAAAAGAGUACGUGGAUAAGACAGAAGCAAUUAGACAGGAAUAUAAAAGAACUUCGAUAUGAUCGAAACAAAGAAUAUCUCUAUGGAGAAUUCAAGCACUAUUUGGUUGUCAAUUAACAUUAUGAUACAAUAGUAUAAUUAAAUGGAGCAACAAGAUUCUUUUGGAUAAGACAAGAUAUAUACUAAGUGGUUUAUCAUUUACCUUUUUUAUUCCAGAUACUAGUAUUUAAAACUACAAAGUUUAUUGAACUUAGUUUCAUCUAUCUCGGUGUAUACUACUCCAAGAAAUUAUGAAAAAGUCACAAACAUAGUUUGAGACACAUUCGUAUUUGGAGUUUACUAGUAUUUCUACUAGAAUCAGAGAUAGAGAAGAUAGAUUCGUGUUCAGAAGCUUGCAUGUUUUAGGUAUCUUAAAGGAAUAAGGGAAAGUCUGAAUUAUAGUCCUCAAGAUAGGAAUGUAUUUAUAGACAUAUUCUUUACUUUCUCUGAGGAAGACUAUAUAAUGACUUAUAACCUAAGAGUAAGGUAAAACUAGAGAAAUAAAAGAGAUCAGGUUGAUGCUCAGCUUCCAACACCUGUUAUAGAACAGGAAGAACAGCAACAACCAGCUGAUCAGCACAGGAUUAUCCUUGAACAACCAUCACUUUUAGAACCUCGUCGUAGUGAGAGGGUAACUAGGUUACCUGCUACAUACAUGCUUUUGGGAGAAACCUAUACGGCUAUCUCAGAUGAACAUGUACAAGAUCCCACUAGUUACAACGAAGUUCUAAUAGAUAGAGAUGUUGAAUUUUGGGAAAAGGUCAUGAAUCAAGAAAUUGAAUCUAUGCAUUCUAAUAAAGUCUGGGAACUUGUAGAGGCACCAAAUGGGGUAAAACCUAUAGGGUGCAAGUGGAUUUACAAGAGAGAAAGAUGAGUAGACGGAAGGAUGGAAACAUUUAAAGCAAGAUUAAUAGCCAAAGGGUUUACUCAGAAAGAGGGAAUCGAUUAUGAGGAAACAUUUUUUGCGGUUACUAUGCUUAAAUCCAUCAGGAUUCUGCUCUCCAUUACUGCAGUACUAGAUUAUGAAAUUUGGCAAAUGGAUGUCAAGAUAGCCUUUCUUAACGGGCAUCUUGAAGAAGACAUCUACAUGCAGCAACCAGAUGGAUUCGUACAAAAAGGCCAAGAACACAUGGUAUGUAAGUUGCAGAGAUCCAUUUAUGGAUUGAAGCAAGCAUCCCGGUCAUGGAACAUUAGAUUUGAUCAAGCGAUUAAAUCGCUUGGAUUCAUUCAGAACAUUGAUGAACUAUGUGUGUACAAGAACAUUCAGGGAAAAAUUGUAGUCUUCCUAGUUCUUUGUGUAGACAAUAUUCUCCUGAUUGGAAACGAUAUAGGAGUAUUAACUACAAUAAAGAUUUGGUUAGCAAAACAAUUUGAUAUGAAAGACCUGGGAGAGACAAGUUAUAUUCUUGGUAUCAAGUUACUACGAGACCGGAAGAAUAAAACUUUAGCUUUGUCUCAAGCGGUCUAUAUCGAUAAGAUAUUGGCUAGAUUUAGCAUGGAAAAUUUCAAGACUGGUUUAUUACCAUUCAGACAUGGAAUUAUAUUCUCUAAGGAUCAAUCACCUAAAAUAUCUGAAGAGAUAGAGAGAAUGAGACGAGUUCCUUAUGCAGAAGCUGUGGGAAGUCUCAUGUAUGCCAUGCUUUGCAUUAGGCCAGACAUCUGUUUUGCGGUAGGGAUGGUUAGCAGAUAUCAAUUUAAUCUUGGACCUCAAUACUGGACUGCAGUCAAGCAUAUUAUAAAGUAUCUGAAAAGAACUAAAAAUUAUAUGCUUGUGUAUUCUGGUGAUGAACUUAUUCUAGUGGGUUAUACUAAUUCUGAUUUUUUGUCAAAUAAGGAUUUUAGAAAAUCAACUUCCGGCUAUGUGUUUACAUUAGGAAGUGGAACUAUUAGUUGGAUGAGUGUGAAACAAUCUUGUAUCACAGACUCCACAACUGAAGCUGAAUAUGUGGCUACAUCUGAAGCUGCAAAAGAAGCUAUAUAGGCUCCGCAAGUUCCUACAAAAUCUUGAGGUGGUACCUGUUGUAACUACACCCCUUAAACUAUUUUGUGAUAAUGGUGGUGUAGUAGCUCAAUCUAAGGAACCACAGGAAACAAAACAUACUGACAGGAAGUAUCAUCUUAUAAGGGAAUAGUGUAGAAAUGUUAUAUGACAGUACCCCAAAUGGCAUUAGAUGCUAAAUGACAGAUCUUAUUACAAUGGCCAUUAGUGGGAAACCUUUAUAACCUGCAUUUAGAGCCCUAGAGCAUGUGCAAUAUGCCAGAUAUGCUUUGAGAGCUAGUGGGAGAUUGUUGGGAAAAUAUGCUCUUUAAAAGCAUAUGUGUUUAUUUAAUUGUAAUAAAUAUUUUUCUGAUUAAUAAAAAUAAUGAGGUAUUUUAUGCAAAUAUCUUAAUUGCAUUAAUAUUUUUAUUAAAGUCCAUUUAAUCAUAUUAUAUGUAUUUAUGUGAUCACCAUGUGGAUUCACAGAAGACAUAAAUACAAGUUAUCUUAUGAUUAAAUAAAUUUAGUUCGCAGUUCAUAAAUAAAGUUGGGCACUUUAUUUAGGUAUAGACUGUAAUAAAUUCAUUGAAUGAUUUGUCUUAAUCAUGUAUGAAUUUAUUGAUGUAGUACGACUACAUUGAACAAGAUCACAUAUGAGAUUUAAUUAACUUUGUAAUAACUGUCAGACUUAUUAAAUCUCAUAGGCAUUGAUUUUACUGUAAUAUUAAUCUUGAGUUAAUUAUGAUUUCAUGAUUAUAAUUGUUAUUCCAUUUGAGUUACCAAUGGGCAUGACACAUACUUGUAGUCUAGAUUACCCGGUAUCUUGGUGGGAGCAUUUAUGAGUAUUGGAGUUAUAGAUUAACAAUAUAGAAUUUGUAAAACACAUCUCUUGAUGGGUUUUCGGCACUUGAUCAUAGAAUUCUCUGGCCAGAGUGUGUCAACAUAUUUAGUAUGUUGAAAAUGAUCAUUAGAGAAAACUAGUAAGUAUCAAAGAAUAAGAUGUUAUUAAAUUGAUUGGACAGUUGAGAUAUUAAUUUAAUUAACGAUGUGGUAUAAAGGAUUGUGCAGUAAAGAAAUCAAUGUGGCUUGGGACAAAUUAUUAUUCGAGCAUACAAUUAUGGAGGUCAAUUCCAAUCUUUUAGUGGAGUAGAUUUGGAAUUAAAUAAUUAGGCUAGUUUAAUUACAGGCCUAAUUGUUAUAGCCACUAUUGUAUGUUCCCAAAUAAUCCCCGGGUUAACUCAUUUAAUUGACUGCACCGCUAUUGGACUAAUAAGUAAGAUAACUAGCUAUUUGGGUCAAAAGCCUAAAUAUAUCAUUUAGUGGGAGGCUCCAUUUAAUUAGCUUGUGUGUAAGGGGCCUUAUGUUAUUUUACAAGGUGGGUCCCCUAUAGAAAAAGCAAGUAACGUAAGUUUUGUUUUUUUAUUAUUUGGAGCCUAGGGUUUUCACUAAAGAGAGAUAUAAAAGGCUUAUUUUCUCUAUUGAAAAGUAGAGUAGCCACUUUAUACAGAUCAGAGAAAAAGAUUUUUCUCUCCAUUGUUGAGAGAAAAAUUUUCUCGUGCUAGUUGCUUUGGUAGUGAUAAAGGCGCCCACACGUCAAGUGCAAAUCGAACCUGAGUCAUAACCUGGAAAAUCAUUGGUGACAGUUCGUGAUCUAACAAGCAUGGUGGUGACGGAUCGUGAUUAGGGGUGGGCAAAAAAACCGUAAUGUUAAAAAAACCGAACCGAACCGACGGUUUUUUCUAAUUCGGUUCGGUUUUUAUUUUUUAAAAAAACCAAAUAUACCGUUUGUAAAAAAAACCGAAAUGUCGGUUCGGUAUUCGGUUCACUUAGCUGAACCGAAAAACCGAACCGAAGAACCGAAUUAUUUUUUAUUUUAUUCAAAUCAAACAUGUGUUAAUAAUUUUAUUCAAAUCAAACAUGACUUUAUACAGAUCAGAGAAAAAGAUUUUUCUCUCCAUUGUUGAGAGAAAAAUUUUCUCGUGUUAGUUGCUUUGGUAGUGAUAAAGGCGCCCACAGGUCAAGUGCAAAUCGAACCUGAGUCAUAACCUGGAAAAUCAUUGGUGACAGUUCGUGAUCUAACAAGCAUGGUGGUGACGGAUCGUGAUUAGGGGUGGGCAAAAAAACCGUAAUGUUAAAAAAACCGAACCGAACCGACGGUUUUUUCUAAUUCGGUUCGGUUUUUAUUUUUUAAAAAAACCGAAUAUACCGUUUGUAAAAAAAACCCAAAUGUCGGUUCGGUAUUCGGUUCACUUAGCUGAACCGAAAAACCGAACCGAAGAACCGAAUUAUUUUUUUAUUUUAUUCAAAUCAAACAUGUGUUAAUAAUUUUAUUCAAAUCAAACAUGUGUUAUUUCUCUUUAUAACAUUAUGAUUAUGUUUAUAUAGAUGGAGUAUUGGAGUUUGGUUAUGUAUUUUAAAAUUUUAAUAUUUCAUAUUUUGGGAGUAUCUUAUUAAUAAUUAGUAAGAUAUUAGUGAUAAAAUGUGUUUUGAAUACUUUGUAUUUAUUGUUAAUAUUUGUAAUAAAAUUAGGAUAAAUUAAUUGUUGAAAAAAAUUAUUACAUUUAUGAGGCCCAAUGGGCUAAAAAUUUAAAAAUUCAAAAUAGGCCCAAUAGGCCCAGAACCGAAAAAACCGAACCGAACCGAACCGAUCCGAAAAGAACCGUUUGAGUUCGGUUCUUAUUGAGUUUGGUUCUUAUUCGGUUCUUUUUAUAAAAUAACUGAUUUAAAUCAGUUCUACUUAAUUUCGAACCGAACCGAACCGAACCGUGCCCACCCCUAAUCGUGAUCCAAAAGGAGUGGUAGCGGUGGAUCGUGAUCUAGGAGUCUAAAUCACUUCAACGGAAAAAGCCAAAUCAGAUUUUCAAGGUACGAUUUCUGGAUUACGUAUUCCUAUAUAUUAUAUGAGAGUGGUCCUUAAAAUGUUUUAUAAAAAUUUAAAAACCUAAUUUUUUGCCAACAAUUGGUAUUAGAGCCAUCUCAUAUUAAUAUAUAAGAAUAUUGUAUGAAAUCAUUCUUGAAAUUUAUGUAUUAGAGUGGCACAAUUUAUUCAGAUAUAUAUUAUUUGUUUAAUAUAUGAAUAAAGCAUGUUUUAGUUUGUCUUAAUUCAUGGUUAGAUUUUCUAUUGUAUUUUUCCUUUGGAUCUGUAACAAGAGGGGUGAUUUUUUAUCACCAUAUUUCCCUCUUGAUUUAUUUUACUGUUAUAGAAUUUUUGUAAGCCAAUAUUAGCCUAGGAAAUUUGUAAAUCGCUAGAGAAUAAUCACGCGAUGACAGAUCAGAGAGAGAAGGCUGGAAAUUUCAGCGGCAACCAGCAGCAAGCAGUGCGCGCCCAGCAGCACAUGCUGCCAGCAAGCGCGCACUGUAAGCCAGUAGCCACGCGCAGCAGUAGCGCGCGAACAGCAGCGCCACCAGCAAGCGCGCGGAGACUGGAAGCUUGCGGACGUUUGCGGCUGGCGGAGGACGUCGUUUGGUGGCUUCCUGACGUGGCGGUGAUGGCCAAAUUGGCGUCGGAGAUGCAUGAACAGUGGCUGCACUUUGUGGUGAUGGCGGCUGGGGAGAGAAAUAGAUGGAUUUAGGGUUUUAAUGGUUUUUAUCAUUACGAUCCCUAUAGUUUCAUAGAUUUUUUCUUUGGGCUGAUAAGUUUUAAUUUUUUGCAUUUAAGUCCAAAAACAGUUUUGGGCUUAAAGAAUCCUAGUUUUAGGCCCAAUUGAAAGUUGGGCUUAAUGGAUUAAAAUGCAUAGAUAAAAUUGAACACAUUAAAUUUAUUUUUGGUCUAAAAGUUUAUUUUAAUAAAAAAAUUUAAUUAUUUAUUUAUUUCCUUCCAAAAAAAAAAAUUAAAAUUGGACCAAUUAUAAAUUUAAAAGCCCAAGUUUUAAAUUGCUUGACACAAGUAUGACUGAAGCGCUGUUGAUAACUUAUUUUGUAGAACAUAAUAUAUUGAAUAAUCUUUGGUUUAAUGCAAAAUAAUUAGUUUUCUAUCCUACUGCUUUGAGCUGGACAACUAUUUUAGAACAUAUGAAAUAAAUUACAUGUUAUAUUUUGCCAUUACAUGAUAGUUAAAGGAAUUUCCUUCUAAAAAAAUUAAGUACAUGGUAGAAUAUUAAGCCAUUCUUUGUAUUAUUAUUAAGGGAAAGGGUUCCUCUAUGAUGCUGUAAUUUUUUUACAGCAUCAAUAAUGUUUUUAAUUGUGCACCAUUGGAUUUAAUCAAUUGUACACAAUAUUUGUAGGUAAAAAUAAAAAUAAAAAAUAAUGGUAAACGGUUAACAAAUGUGUAAGUGGUGGAGAAAUUUAUAAAAUAACUAUGACCACCCUUAGAGUUUGAAACAAUUUCACUUAAAUAACAUAUUUUAUUUAAAAUUAUUUUUCAAUCCCCCUUUAAAUUUGAAAUGUGAUAAUCUUUUUUAAAUAAAUCUUCCAAAAUCUAUUACCAUUAAGUAUAAAAUAUAAUGGUAUUAUUUAACACAAAUCAAAUAAAUAAGUUGCAAUUGCAAAACUUAUAUAUGAUAUAACACUAAUAAAUAACACAACUAAGUACAUAUAGUUAAAUAAAUGUCAUAGUUAUAUCAAUAAACUCAUUGUUGAGAUUGCUUGUAACAUAAAAAUUACUUGAUCACACAUGUUUUAAUAAAAUUUAAUAUCGUAUAUUAAAAUACUCAUUAUUUUAUAUAAUAUUAAGGGUCAUUGUAUAAUUGAUCAUGAAGUAUGUAUCAUUUUUAACACCCAUUUAACAUACUUAUUUUCUAUAUUUUAUAUUUAUCUUACGGUUAAUAUCCUUACAUGGUGGGAGUUUUAAGUUUUAUAAGCUUAUAUAUUUUUAUUUUAUUUUCAAAUAUCACUUUGUUAAUUUCAUAAAAGUUAAAUCGAAUAUAUAUUCAUAAUGAGUUUUAGUUUAUGAAUCGUGAAAGAUUAUUUUAUUGAUAUCCUUGGAUUGUAAUUAUAAAAUUUUAUGUUAUGAAGAGUCAUUACUUUUGUUAUGGUAGUUAAUAGUGACAAUAAAUAAAAUAUUGCCUCCGAUAAUAUUUACGUGAGAAAAAAAGUGAAAGAAAAUCAUUUAUAUUUUUAGAUUUUUAUUGACAUGGUAAAAAAUUAUCUGAGCCUUAUAAAAUUUAACUUUCACAAGCUUGUUUUCAUUUUAUUUUCAAAUGUCACUUUGUUAAUUUCAUAAAAGUUAAAUCUAACACAUAUUCCUAAUUAACUUUAGUUUAUGACUCAUGAAAGAUUAUUUUAUUGUUAUUCUUUGAUAAUAAUUAUAAAAAAUUUUAUGUUACGAAGAGUCAUUAUUUUUAUUAUGAUAAUUAAUAGUGGCAAUAAAUAAAAUAUCACAUCAAAUAAUAUUUAAUGGACAAAAUGAGGAAAAAAAAAUCAUUGCAUGUUUUUAUAUUUCCAUUAUAAAGAUAUGGUUUGGGAUACUUUAACUUAAAAUUUUGACACAAUAUUUGAGCCACUAAUAUAUCAUAAUCUAAUGGUUGAUAUUGAAAGUCAAAGCAACAUUUCAUAAUGUUAUAUCUUCCACCACUGAAUUGCAUGAAAUAAAUAGUUUAAUUUUUUGUUAAAAAAUUAAAUCAAAAUAUUUCUCACUCUAUAGUUAUAUAGACAUAUAUAUUUUUCAACAAUAAUUGGUGAAUAAAAUAUUUCUCAUUUGUUGUGACUCAUAUAGUAUUAUUAAUAAAACACAUAUAAAAUAGUUUAUUGAAAUGCCUUCUAUUAUCAUUAUUGUUUAGGUAUUAAUGGUUUGUAAUUAAAUUCAUACAAUACAAAUUAUUAUAAGACUUUGUGUUAAAUAACCUACUUGAUAUUAUAUUUUAUACUUAAUGGUAAUUGAUUUUGGAAGAUUUAUUUAAAAAAGAUUAUCAUAUUACAAAUUUAAAGGAGGGCUGAAAAGUAAUUUUAAAUAAAAUAUGCUAUUUAAGUGAAAUUGUUUCAAACUCUAAGGGUGGUUACAAUUAUUUUACAAAAAUUCUCCACCCACUUGAACGGUUAACAAACAGUUUAUUAUUAUUUUUAAAUUAUUUUUUUAGUAUAAAUAUUAUACACCAUUGAUUAAAUCUAAUGGUUCACAAUUAAUACAUUAUUGAUACUGUAAAUUUUUUACAGCAUCAUAGAGGAACCCUAAGGGAAAUUAUCCACCGUCCAUCCCUUUUUUUCGUCGUUUUUAAAAAAUACACAAAUCUUUUUUUUUUCCAGCACUCCACCUGAAGUUAGCAUUUUUUUUUUCAUUAGUCCAUACUCGUUAUAAUACCGUUAGAACUUUGCUGACAUCAUAAGGAUAAAAUUGUCAUUUUAUAACGACACAGUAGUGAAAAGGUGCAAAACAAUAUAACUUCAAGUGGAGUUUAGCAAAAACAAUAUUAAGUAUUGUGUAUUUUUGAAAAAAUACAAAAAAAAAGGUGGUUGGUGGAUAAUUUAUCUUUUACAUUUGAGGAUAAAAAAGUCAUUAAUACAAUAUUUCGUUAGUUUUCUUAACGGUCUCCAAACGGAAGUGAAAAAGUGAAAAGAAAUGUAAGUUCAGGUGGAUUCCAGCAAAAAAAAAAAUUGUGUAUUUUUGAAAAAGUUAGAAAAAAUGGGUGGACGAUGGAUAAUUUCUCUAUUAUUAAUCUAGCGCUAGACAUGGUAGAAUAUUAAGUACAUUCGACAAAACACUUAUUAAUAAAAUUCGAUCACAAGUUAAUAUUAGCAGUAUGAGAAUUAUUAUAAAUCAAGUAUUUAAUUAUCAAUAACAAUUGUCCACCAUUGUAAUUACAAUUAAAAUGAUAAUUACAAUCACAAUUAAAAUAACGUUUACAAUUACAAUUAUGAUAACAAUUACAACUGCAAUUGUAAUUCGUAAUUAUAAUUAUAACAUUAUAUACAAACUGCAACUGUAAUAAUUAUUGUAAUUGUAAUUGUAAUUACGAAUACAAUUGUCAAUGUAAUUCCAAUUCCAAUUACAAUAGUUGUAAUUGUAAUAAUUUUUAUAAUUGUUAUUUCAUUUGUAAUUGUCAUUGUAAGAGUUGUUGUAAUUAAAAAUGUAAUUAGUGAGUGUCAUCUAGUUUAGAUAUUAAAAUCUUUUGUAUCGGAAUUUGGAAAUAAAAGGCCUGAGUUCGAACCGUGCUAACAUGGGGUGAGAGGGGAUUGGUUUGCCAUUAGUUGAGAUGUAAAAUCUCUUGUGUUGAAAAUAAAAGGAUUGGAGGUUUGAAUUUCGUUCACAUGAACGGAGAGGAGAUUGGGUUGUCAUUAGGCUAAACAAUAAAAAAAAAUUGUAACUAAAAUUAUUGUUGCUGAUGUCAAAAUUUGGAUUAGUCGGUUACUGACUGGAUACCAAAUCUCUGCGUCAACAUUAAAUUUAUUUGUCGGGGAAGCAGCUUAUGAUCACUAGCAGAUAACUCGCAAACACUUGAAAUCACAAAGAAUGGUAAGAGGCGCAAGAAGUUUUUCUAGCGUGAACCCUCUGACACCUAAGUCAGUUAUCAGGUUUACAAGAAAGAUAAAAUAUGUAAUUUCUAGUUUUUUUUAAUAAAUAAUCUUAAGUAAAUGGAAUAAAAAAAUCAAAAUUGAGAAAGAAAAUUGAACCUCCUCUUGGUUUGGAUUUUUUUGGACUUUUAUAAGCAUAUGGAAUCAUUGCACCAUCUUUAAUGCGUUGGCGUUACUAGGUUGAAUGUGUCACUUAAAUCAUGAGUUACUACGAGUGUUACAAAGUAAUUAUUGAGCUGCAAUUGUAGCAGCUAGGCGUGCCUUGACAUUAUGCCUGACUUUUCGAAAGGAACCCGUCAGUUGAACUUAAUUGGAGUCUUUGGACUGACCAGAUUCUAGUCUCCUCAAACCCAUCUGCUCGAGGUUACUAGAUUAUCUCUUGGUGGAGAAGGCCUGCUUAAGGUCACCAGAAUCACCCCUUGGUCGAGGCGGUCUGCUCAUGGUAUUAAGAAUUACCUCCUGGUCAAGGUGGUCUGUUCGAGGUCAUCAAUGUUACUAUCUGGUCAAUGUAAUCUACUCGAUGUCACUAAAUAAUAUCAUGGUUGACAUCAUCAAAAUUACCACCUGAUUGAGGUUGUCUGCUCGAGGUCACCAGAAUUUUCUCCUAGUAGCCUAUCAAUUAUUUGUUCACUCUUUACCUCAUUGAGAUCAUGAUCACCCUAUUUUAUUCCCCAAACAAUUGUUGUUGUAAUUAAAUUAUUAUUUGCUACAAAAUGACUAUUAGCAAGUGAUAUAAGGUAGCUCACAUUGUAAGAAAAAAUAAACCAGGUAGAUUCCAGAGAAAUAUUAGAGGGUUACAAAUAGUCAUACUUAAAAUUUAGAUUUUUUAAACAAUGUAUGAUGAAAUAUUGUGAAAGUUGCUUAACCAAAGCUUUUAACCAACACUCUCCAAGAUCCUCGAUUAGAAUCAACAAGAUGCUUAAGAGAUGAUAUGAAUUGCUAAUAAAGAAUCGAUGUAUGAAAAAGAUGAUGACUAAUUCAAAAACGAUCAAAGAAUUAGCCAACAAAUCAAAGAAUCAUAAAACAAAGCUAUUAACGUGGUUCAGUCAAUUUGCAUGAGGGACCAAGAACACCACUCUCAAACAAGCUAUCUCUCUCUCUAUCUCUCACACCGGAAUUAGUCGUAUAAAUAGUUUUAACGAACCCAUAAACUUUUCCAGAAACGCACGUGUUUACCAUGUGAAUUAACGGCGUCAUAACAACUUUUACAAGUCACGUCGUUGCACAAGCUUCAUUAAACUAAAAACGGCAAAGCUUCUGGUCGUUUAAGCUAGCAAACUUAAUACACAUCAAAACAUAGACCUUGCAUGUCGUUUUGCCUUCGUCAUGGACAUACCAAAAACGCAAAUCACCUCUGUCGUUUUGAUCUCUUUAAAUUUGCUUCAUGGAUAUGACCUUUAUGAUAAAACCUUUGUAAACUAUCUGAGCGUACUAAUUGAUAUAGCAUAGAUUAUUAAUUAUAAAUUACAAUAAUAUGUGAUAAUAAAUAUAAAAACAUAAAUAUGAGGCUUGGAAAGGUACAUUGUUUUUAAAAAAGAUUCUAAUUGAUAUAGCAUAUAUUAUUAAUUAUAAAUUACAAUAAUAUGUGAUAAUAAAUAUAAAAACAUAAAUAUGAGGCUUGGAAAGUUACAAUAUUUUUAAAAAAAGAUUCGCCACCUUUUCAGCAAUGCUUAGGUUAUAUUGGUGUCUGACUGCCUAUCUUCUAGGAUUAUUGAAUUUAGAUCAUCUCAAUAGUACAAUCUUACAAUUUUAGCGAACUUCAAAUAAGUAUUCAAUUAAGUGUUUGAAUUUUAUCACAAGCGCUAGAGAGAAUUUGUUUUAGAGGGAGGAGGAAAAAUCACUUUGACUAAAGCAUUACAGAAACAAGGUCUCUCCAGAGAUUUAUAAGAGAUGGGGUUUCCUCCAGAGCCCGCAAUAAGCGCCUAUGACACUUCCGGUUCCAUCAGAAACUCUUCUGAGCCCGCAAUUGCGAUGUUCAUCAUGUCGAUGUUGUCUUUCAAAGACAGAGAGGCUGCUGCUGCUGACGUACUAUUAAUUAUUUAUAUGCUGCUGAAUAAUAAAAUUACUACUAGUGCUGAAGAGAAACCGACGAAGACAAAAUGGUUGGCUCGUGGUCAUGAUCGAUGGAUUAAAUGAUUUCUUUCUUAAUCCUAUAUUCCUGUGUAUGUAUGGGUCGUCAGUUUCUGUAGAAGUAUUAAAAAAAUAACUCGCGUUAGAAAAAAAAUAAUAAAUAAAGAGAUAAUUAAUGGAUAAUAAAUGAAUGGCUUAAAACUGUUUUUGUCCUUCAAUUGACUAGGAUCAUAGACUUCAUUUUCGGCCAAUAACCCUUAUCAAUAGUAUAGAGAGAAAUUUUAAAAUAUCUUUGAAGUAUCACGUCAAUUAUAUAUAUAAUAAGUAAAUAAUAUUAUAAUAUGUAUAUUUAUUUUUAAAAAAUUAAUAUAUAAUUAUUAAUUAUAUAAAUAAUAAUAAUAAUAAUAAUAUUAUUAUUAUUAUUAUUAUUAUUAUUAUUAUUAUUAUUAUUACCUCAAAUAUAUUCUAAAAAAUACAAAUUAACUGCCGACCCAUACGAUCAAUCAAGUUGUAACUAGUUAGCUACAUAGCUAGUGACAUAUGGUGGACCUCUCGAUUGUCGCUGUGAUGGCCAUGAUCAGCACAAUUCUCGCAUAAUGUUGCGGUGGGACAUAAUAACUGACUUGCUCAAGUCGUCGCGGGUGGCAGCGUUCAACUUUUCAAAGUCUUGUGCAGAAAACAUACGAAAGCAUUUGUUUUCAACAGUAGACUUUGUUUUGUUCUUUAUAGAGCUAAUUAUACUAUAAGCUUUCCAAUUCGACUAGAAUUGCUUAGCAAGCCUGUUUUAAAAAGUUCAAUUUUAAGAGUCACCGGCAAAAUAAUUUUGUAACGAUUUCCAAUUUUGUUCUUAUCUUCAUUGAUUGUACUUUGAAUGGAAAUUCUUUCACACGUUCUCACCUUUAUUGUUUGUUUUGUCUCCAUCCAUGAAAUUUCCUCCUUGGAAAUGAAUGAUAACCAAUAUCCGGUGGCCCUUCAGAUUUACAAAGACUUGCAUAUGCAAUUGCUACGAAUUAAUUAAUCGUUAUAUAUUUUUUUUUUUUUUCAAUUUUAAUUAAGUGGUUUCAUCACACAGUAUUUAACUCAAUUGAAGAUUCUUCAAUGGCCUAAAAUGAUUAUAUUUGUUUUUAAAACAAUAAUUCGGGUUGUACCCAAUUAUGAUAUAGAUGAUUGUUGUAGAAUCAGACAGAAAAGCUCUCAUCAUGAUUAAUUCUCUCCAAUGAAAUUUUUUUUAAAGAAUAUAUAAUUUAAAGUAAAACCCAACUAGAUAUCGAGAGACAAAUUAAUCUAAACAACUAUAUGUAUUCAGCUCGUCACAAAACUAAUUAAUUAAAACUAUCCUGUAAUGUAUGGAAUAUGGUCACCUUUGUUAUGCAACUCCCUCAGUAGGACGCAUAACUAUCUAAUAAGGUUAUUUUGUUAAUGGAUGAUAAGGCCUGUACCAUAACAGAUUUAUCUGUUAUAUAUAUAUUAUUAGUGCUUUUUCAUUAAUAAAAAGGGUAAGAAUAGUAUAACAAAGAAUUAAACUCAGACACAUUCUGAAUUCAACUCAAUUACAAACAAGAUGCAAAAAAAGAAAAACCUAAGCUAGCACUUAAUGAGGCUAAUACGAUUUAGCAAUAUCUGGUGAUCAUGUAUCAUCUCCCUUUCGGAUUCAGGAUCUCAGAGAACACAGCUCGAGAAUACUUGUCAGAACUUUCAGUAGAAAGGCUUUGAUCAUCAGUAGCAGUCGUAGUUGAUAUGGUAACCGUACUAAUGGUUUUUGAAUCUGAAAGUACAUGUACACCAACACCAGAGAAGAUGGAACCACUACCAUUGGUUUCGUAGUUGUCAACAAUUUUUUCUUCCUCCUCAUUCUCAUCAAUCUCCUUUGCAAUUGCAAUACUACUUUCCUGCAGCUGCAAUGCGAACUCAAGUCCCCAAACCACAUCGCUCAUCGAGGGCCGUCUGAUUCCUUCAUCAUUCAAGCAACUCAUCGCUACCUCAGCAUAUUUAUUCAAACAUUCUGGCUUUAUCUUACCCUUCAAGAAUGGAUCAACAAUCUGAUCAAUUGUUCCAUUUUGAUAACAUUGUUGCGCCCAAACGGCUAAACUCACUUGUUUCUUAUAUGCUGUCCGAAGAAUAGGUGGCCGAGCACACAAUACUUCGAACAACACAACACCGAAUGAGUAGACGUCAGAUUUUUCAGUAAGCUGCUGAAGUCGGUAGUACUCAGGAUCUAAGUAUCCGACGCUGCCCUUAACAACCGUACUCACAUGAGUUUUGGACACCGAAGUUGGUCCAAAUUUGGAGAGUCCGAAGUCAGAAACCUUGGCCACCCAUUUCUCGUCCAACAAGAUGUUGGUUGUCUUCACAUCACGAUGAAUGAUAACAGCAUGGUUUGCCCCAGUAUGCAAAUAGUGAAGCCCACGAGCUGCACCAAUGCAGAUUUCAAGCCUUUGAUUCCAUGGAAGAGGAGGAUUGUCGCUACGGUAGAGAUGAUCACGUAGAGUCCCACGAGCCAUGAAAUCGUAUACAAGGAUCAUCUCCCUGCCAUCGUUGCAAUAGCCGAUGAGAGAGACUAAGUGAAGAUGCCGGAGCUGCGAGAGCAUUCCUAUCUCAGUUUGGAAUUCCAGGGCGCCCUGUUGCGACUCUGGUUCCAGUCGUUUAAUGGCAACAGGGGUAGUGCUGCCAUUGAUGAAGCCUUUGUAGACAUUACCAAACCCUCCAACUCCAAUUACGAGAUCAUUGUCGAAGUUGUUUGUAGCCGCUUGGAUUUCAGAUAGUGAAAAUUGGGUACAAAGAUCGGAAGGAAGGAAUGAGCCGCGUGAUGACUUGGUUGCCUUGAUAGUCUUAGAAGAAAAAAAAGUCCCCAAAAGUGAAGUACCUGUACCGGAACCCGAGUCCUUGACUUUUCUUCCUCUCCAGAAAAUUAACAACAAUAGAAGAGAUAGCACACCAAAGCCUGAUAUAACACCAGCAACGAUCCCGAUUACAUUACUCGUCUUAUUCGAUUUUGUUGUUGGAGACACAUCUAAAUUAGGUGGGAUCGUCCGACGUUCAGGAUUAGGUCCUGCGAGAUUCCCAUUGUUGUCCACUUUAAAGAUUUCAAGGCCGUUCAAGAUAGCAUCAGAGUAUUUGGUCCUCCAUCUGGGGGCAGGGUGCAGUUGAAUAGAAAGAUUCUGCUUCAUAUUUUCUUCAUUUGGUUUUGAUCCUAUCAUCACAGCAUAAUCUCUAUAUACGGGAACACCAUUCGCACCACUCCAAGCUAUCACAUCUGCUCGAACUUCAGCAGUUAAAUUAGCAAUGAAGAUCUGGAACACCCUAUUGCCCUCUUCAGUUACCUCUAUCUGAAACUCGCAAAAAUGAAGCCUCAGAAAAUAUGUAAAGCCGGAAUCCACUUCGAACUCCCAAGUGAGAUUAUACUUCUCGUUGACUUCCCUGUCCUGCCCCAUCGUCCUGGCGGUGGUGUAGACCACAUCCGGAGCAGAGUGAUUACGUACCCAAGUGAGUUGAAUACUCCCGUUAACGGGAAGAGCACUUGGUCUGGCAUCUAUCAAGUAUUGGUCGUCCGUAUCCCAAGUUCGGUACAUGCCCCUGAUGUCGUCUGACGGUGAGAUUUGUUGCCCGCCGACGUUUAUCCGGUAUAAAUUCGCCAGAGCAUUUCUGUUUAAGAUACUGUCUGGGUUGUCCUGGCCAACAAACCUGAACCCCCGGCCGGGAUCAUCGGCCGCGGUGUAAUAGAAAUUGAGGGGCAUGGAUACAAUCUCAAUUCCAUUGAUAAAAGCAUAUGAAUCGUUGUAAUCCGGACUUGGAGUGAAGGUUAUGUUCAAUAGCCUCUGAUCGUCUUCGAUGUUAAUGCAGAAUUCUUUGAAAAAGGGAUGGCCGUUGCCAUCUGCUGUCAGUGAAGCGCUAAAGUUUCUUAACAGAGUGAAAGAAGCUGCUUUAACAGAGAAGAAAGCUGCAGAGGGGUUGAACCUUGGUUUUGAAGUUGGAUUGAAAUGCAGGCGGAUGAACUUUUGACCGGCGGUGACGUUGAAUAUGUAGGUGAAUUGCGAAUGAGAAACGCGUGAUGUUGAAUAUGGGACUUGCUUAUUUUCAGUGACGGUUGUUGAUUUGGGAGCGGAUGCGUCUUCAUGUGGGGAGUAUUGAGAGUUAACAUCUCCAACCCAAGUCCGACCGGGAGUACUCGUGUUGCCCAACCAGCCACAAGCAAGAAAUAUGUUGCUUUCUACUAGAGAGUAAUUAGAGUCACCGGUGACGACAACAGCUAGAUGAUGGCAGGAGAAGAAGAAAAAGAAGAAGAAGAAGAAGUGGAAGAUUUUUCUGUAUGUCUCCAUUAAUUUUUUGACAAUUAAUUAAUAGGCAGGCUGCAGCUAUAGCUUUGAUUCUUCAGAUAGCUAGACAUUUAAAGUUAGCAAAUUUUGCAGCAAUAUGUCCGUCUCUGUCAGUUGGAGGCCAGAGGCGCCUUGGCGUUUCGGACAUGACAAUCAAAAUGAUGGAACUUCUUAGUCUUCGUCAACUUCUUAGUCUUUGCCCUUUGGCAUCAGUCCAUUCUACUAUCUCCCGUAAGGCACUUUCCAUGGCCACUAUUACUAGACUUGUUUUGAAAUAUCAACUUAUAUAAAACCAUACUAUGAAACUUCGUAGUAACCACAAAUCAAUCAGUUGGAUUCCAUAAUUAAAUAUACACUUAACAAAUCUAGAUUGGACUUGAAUGUUAAAUUAGUGUUCGGUCACUAAAUUAAAAAAAUAUUCGCCCAUAAUUGGUUAUUUUAGAAAUACAUGUUUAGUAGUUUGUUGAAAGGUUGAACUAAUUAUAUUAAUGGUGUGUUUACUAAUUAGUUAUUGGAAUAAGCUGGAAUCAGAAUGAGCUGGAAUCGAAAUGUGCUGUAAUCAUAAUCAGGAAUGUGAAUUAAAAUAAAUUAUUUACUUGAGUUGCAGGAAUUGGAAUCGAAAUGGAAAUGAGAUUUAUUUCCAUUGAUGUGUUUAUUUUAUCUUGAAAUUGGAAUGGACUAUCAUAAUUUAUAAAAAUGCCCUUUGUUAAUUAUUGUCAAAUGAUGAUGAUGAUGAUGAUGAUGAUAAUAAUAAUAAUAAUAAUGAAAUAAAGAAAAAUUAUAGUAGUAGUAGUAACUUAUCAUUAUAAUAAUAAUAAUUAUUAUUAUUAUUAUAAAUUACAUUAUAAUAAUAUUUUAGUAAAUAAUAAUAAUAAUAAUAAUAAUAAUAAUAAUAAUAUUAUUAUUAUUAUAAGCUUUAAGUUGUAAAAAUAGCCUAUCCAGUUUCUAUUGUUUCUAUUCUAUUGUAAGAAAAUAUCUUGGGCAUUACACUUUUCUAUUUUUUUUGGCUUAUUUCAUUGAUAAAUUUAAUUUAAAUGGAGAUAAACUUGAAAAUUCUAAUUAACUAUAGAAUAGAUAAGCCUGAUUUACAACUCACAUGUUCUCCCCUCUUAUUCCGCUCUUCAUUAAUUUUUGUAUGUUUUUGUGACUUUAUUUAUAUAUAGUCGAGAAUCCAAAUAGUAUGAUUAAAAUAAAAAAUCGAUUAGAAGACAGGUUAGUUUCCAAUUAGUUCAGAACAAGGGAAAAAAAAAAAAAAAAAACUUACCGAUCACUAUUUUACAGGUGAGUUCAUGAGGAAAAUAAUUAGGAGUUGCUUUCUAUUGACCACGGGACUUGCACGCCUGCUUGACUUGUACAAUUACUGUUGUUGAAUUUGUACGACCAUCGUUAGCAUGUUAGAAUUAGAUUGGAUUAUAUUUGCUUGUGUCUUUUAUUUUGUGUAGUAUAAGAUUAAAUUGGAUUAUAAAAGUAAUAUGUUAUUGGAUAUUAAAAUCACAUAUAUAUUUAUUUAGAAGUGGGGCUACUUACAUUUAAAAAAUUACCCUGAACACAUUAAUUUUAAUAAAAGUAUGUAUUUAAAAAAUAAAUUAAAUGCCUUUAGAUAAAGAACAUAUAUUGAUUCAUUCACCUGUUCCCUCCCACCCGCCUUAAUUGUGAGACUAGAACCAUGUACUUUAAUGUUCACAUCGGUGUUGCCCAUAUGCCAAACAUAUCAUCAAGCUAACUUAGGUAAUUAUUACUCGAAAUCACUAAUUAAAUGAGGAUGGAAACCUUAUCAAUUUACGUUAAUCUUUGUCCCUUAUUAUUAUUUAAACUCAGGUAUCAAUAAUGUAAAGUUCAUAUUUAAUUAUGACCAAUUCAGCUAUGCCUAAGCAAUGUCUCUCAGUAACGUAAUGUCUACUGUCAUAGAUUAAACUCAAACCGUCUCAUAACUAGGAUAAGGAUCCUCUCUCUCUCUCUCUCUUUGAUGCAAAAGCUUAACGUAAAUGGACAAAAGCUUCUCAGUGGAUCAGAUUAUGAUGCAAAUAUCUUUUGAUGACGGCUUUAAUAUGAUUAUUCUAAUUUAGAAAAUGUCAAGUCUGAAUACAUUUGGAAGCAUGUGUGAAAGAACUUAAAUCGAAAUUUAUGAGUAUGAAUUUUAUGAGGCUUACUACUAUAGGAUCAAUAUUUCAUUUUCCUGACCCUUUUUAUAUUUUUCCUAUGAAGGAGGCUGAUGAGUGUGGUUGCUAGGCAGAAUUUAAUGCCUUUGCUCUUGCUAUGCAGUGUUCAUUUAGUAAUUUCUCAUUUAAGGUAAAUCCUACCACUCCUAGAUUCUUCUAAUGCGGUUAGCGAACUCUUGAAUAUUAGUUGAAAAUGAAUUAAUUACUUGCAUUUUUACAUAGCUUCAUAAAAACUAGCUUAAUAAAAAUUUAUUUGGAAAUUAUUUGCCAAGAACCUAAUAUUUCUUUUAUAGCUGUUGUUAUUUAAUCCUAUUAUAACUUUCGAAAAAGUAUACUUGGAAAUUUUUUCAGGCCUAAAUUAAAUUCUUCAAGUUUAAAUUGAAUAAAUUUGGCUUUUGGUUAAAUCUCUGAACCAAAUUGAACAAAUUUUAUAAUUUUACUAAUAACAUUAAGUCUAUUUCAAUUCAAAAGAGUGUAAAACUAAAAGAAAACUCGAGAACAUGCAACAGUUUAUAUGAAAGAUACAACAACUGGGAUCAAACAUAAAACAUAGAUGUCAAACAUGAAAUGGGCGAGAAAAUCCUCAAGUUUUGGCUUUAUUUAAGACAUGCAACAGUUUAAGUGAAACAUGCAACAAUAAAGGUCAAACAUGCCACAUAAAAUCUACCUAUAAGAAAGUCAUAUAAAAGUGCAACAGCUGAGGUCAAACUAAUGCUAAACAUGAGAACCAUGUAAACAUACAACAGUUCAUGUCAAACAUGCAAUAACUAAGGUUGAACAUGUAAUAUGAAUGUCAAACAUGAAAUAAACGGGAAAAUCCUCAAUUUUUGGCUUUAUUUAAGACGUACAAUAAUUUAAGUGAAAUAUACAACAAUUGAGGUCAAACAUACAACAUGAAAUCUACAUGUAAAAAAGUCAUAUGAAACAUGCAACAAUUGAGGUUAAAUAGGAAAACCAUGUAAACAUUCAACGAGUCACAUUAAACAUGCAACAAUUAAAGUCAAGCAAGCAAUACAAAUGUUAAACAUGAAAUAGGCGGGAAAAUUUUCGGUUUUUGGCUUUAUUCGAGACAUGCAACAAUUCUAAUAAAACAUACAACAACUAAAGUCAAACAUCAACAUCAAAUCUACAUGGAAAAAAGUCACAUGAAACAUGCACAACUGAGGUCAAACUUGCAACAACUCAGGUUAAACAUGAGUACGAUUUAAAUGAAACACAUGAUAUAUGUGACAGAUGGUCCAGCAUGUGACAUGGAUGUCAAACAUGAAAUGGAUGGGAAAAAUAUUUUGGGGGUUUUUUUUUUUGAAUUCUGUUAUACACAUUUUAUUAUUGAUAUUUCAUCAGACAUUACAAAUUACAAUAUUUACAAUCGUACUAAGCAACUGGGACCACUGCCAUACAUUAACCCACUGAAGUAUUUGCCCAAAUACUUUAAACCCUCUCUAAUAUUCGAGAAGUGUCUACUCCACUCACAUUUCGUAAAGAAGAGACAAUCUCCACUCACAUUUCGUAAAGGAGAGACAAUCUUCACUCAAUUAGUUGAUAAUUUUGGGGUAUUUAGAAUAAUAAAGAUGAGACAAAUAACAAUAUAUAUUUAAAUUUUAACAUUCACUAUGAGACAUCACAUUUAAAAUAUGGAACAAAUAUUUAUCUUGUAUUAUUUAUAAUUAUUUAUUUUUUUUAUUGAUUAUGAUAAGAUGCAACCGAUCAUGAAACUGAUUGCACCAAGUUUUUGGUUGCCAUUACAAUUAGCUCUCUUUUUUAAAGCUUGGCACUAUACCAAUUUGGCAUUGUAGCCAUGCCAAACCCAUGUGAAGAGGAUUGAGGGACAAAUUGAGAAUUAAUGCUUCUUUGGAUCUAAAUUGUAGCUAAACAUACUUGUUUACUGGCCAUUUGUCUCUCUAAAAAUUUUAAGCUAUGAAUUAAUUGCACAUCAAUAAACACAUUAUCUUUAAAGUUUGCAUAGUUUGGGUUUGGCUUUUUAAUGCCCCUGAGCUUUCCAUCAUAAAUAUGGGAUUUGAUUAAGAUAUUAAAAUUGCAACGAUCGAGAGAUUUUCAUUUUGUUUUCAAAGUUUACUUCCAUUUCUCAAGUGUCGAUGGUGAAUCAACAGUACAGGUGCAAAAUCACAGUGUUUUGCCUAUUGAAGUUUUGCAUUUUAAUCGUUUAAGUCCAAAACAAGUUUGGUUUUAUACUUUUGUUGUAGAUAGGUUCUCACAUGUGACACACAUGUGAGUCACUUAUCCUGACCAUAAAAAACUUUUGUCAAGUUUGUUAGGAAGAGUGAGAAAUACAUCAGAGGUAAUACAAAUAAUUAAUACUUAUAUAAAAUGUGUAAUUAAAUUUAAUAUGACCACCACUUGUAUCAUAGUUUUUUUUUUUUUUUUUUUUAUAUACAAUGGGGCUCUAAAAAAGAGCUAAGAAAGGACUAAAUAGGGAAAACCACCCUAUACACAUCAUGAAAACAUAAAGGAAGAGAGCCGACCAAAUUUGCCACAAAGUUAGCCGAAAAGUUAGCCGAAAAGUUUGCUUCUCGAUAAAUAUGGAUGAUGGUAAUAUUCCAAUUCUGCUUGAACUCUUAGAUGGAUCGAAUGAGAGGAGAAAAUUUGUUCACCAAAUCUAAACACUUAGUAAUCAUUUGAGUCAUGUAUUAACGAUCUACUUCAACUUGCAGCCAAAGAAUUUUGGAUUGCCAAACAAUGUCCAAGCCUUGAUAGAGACCCAGACUAUCCAUUCCUCUUAGUUGCAACAUCCGUAUUAAGUUUACACCUAGGCAAAAUGGGAGGAGUCCAGCCAAUCCAUCUCUCAGUCUUCAUAAACCCCUGUUAGAGGCGAAUUGUUAAUCUGUUGAAUUUCCUCAACCCUCAUAGUGACAUUAGUAACCAAAGCUCCACUAUUUCAAGUCACACGACAAAAAAAAAUUGGUUCGCUAAAACCAGAGUCUCCAAAUUGCUACAUUAAAGAAACACCUUUACUAUAAAACUUAUCAAUCAACCAAAAACUCUUCAAGUUUUGAUUCAUCUAAUCCCGAAGAUCAAGGUUAUAACAUUCAUGGCGAUGCGACACAUGAAUGAUUCGAUAUGGGCCUUGCCAGCUCCAAGCAAGGUUCCAAAUCUAAUCUUCUAUAUGAUUUCCAUAAGGGUUGUUAGCAUGUCAUGCAGAUUUGAUUGUAAAAGUGCCUUUAUCAGAAAAAGCCCAAAAGACUUAAUCGUUACCUCUUUGAUCCAAAGAGGAGGGAAAGCAUUUAUUCUGAGGAUGAUGUGAUUAGGGAGAAGAUGUUUGAAUUGGUCUCAUCACCAGUUCCCAUUACAAUAAGUAAAGUUAGUAGUAACAUUAUUAAGGAUAUUGUCAGGAACAAUACCAAUUGCAUGAAAGAACAAUGGUUUAUCUUUUGUAACCCAACGAUCCCACCAAAACUAAUCCCUUCUACCACCUCCUAUAUUCUAGGAAACGCCUAACCAUAUAUCCUUCCCAGCAUUCCCUAUAUCUUUUCACAAGUGAAACCCAUUUCAUGUACGUAAACUUGAAGGAAAAUUAUAGGAAUCCACGCCAUAUUUAAUUAUCAAUACUUGGGCACACAGGCUCGAAAGAGAAGAAAUAAUGCCCUAUCCCAUCUUUAUCAACUGAGCUCGGUUCAUCAUACCAGGAUUUUAAAGCCCAAACCACUACACACUUUUACCUGGCAAAUUUUAUCCCAAUUAACCAGGGUCAUUUUUGUUGAUCUGUUACAUCGCUUCAAAUGAACUUUUUACAAGCAUGCUUAACUUUUGACUUAAGUUUUGAAAGGAGAAUUUUCGUUUGCAUGGCAUAAAUGGAGAUUGCUUGAAGGAAUGACUGAGAAGUGUAGUUCUUCCAACCAGGGAAAGAUAAGAGGUCGUCCAACUAGACAAACUUUUUUCUACCUUGUCGAUGAUCUCAUAAUAAGUAAGCUUAGAGAGAGAAGGAGGGGCAUACCAAGGUAUUUACCACGAUUAUUAGUGAUAGAGUAACUAAGAACUCUUCUAAUAUUAUUAUCCUCCUUAGCAUUAAUAUUCUUUUAUAAGAAUACUUUGGUCUUGGUUCUAUUAAGCUUGGCCUUGGAACUUCUACAGAAAGUAUCAAGGGCCGAAUUGAUUACUCUCGCCUACUCACAGGAUGCCUUAGGUAGAAGCAAAAGAUUAUUAGUAAAAAGAGAUUAGUGAGGGGGGUUCCAUUACAAGUCAAGCAAAUAAGUUUCUAUUCCCCCGUGUCCACUGUAUUGCAAAUACCGUGACCUAGCCUCUCAAUACAUCAAACAAAAAUGUACGGCAAGAGGCGUCCCCCUAAUGAAUUCCCUGAUAAGGAAAAAAUUCAUUCGUCAACUCUCCAUUUCAAAGCACGACCAUUUUCAAAGCUGUGAUGCAUUCCAUAAUAAUUUGUGCAAGAUCCACUAGAUGAUUGUUUUUCUCCGCAUUGCAUGAACGAAACUUCAACUAAGACGGUCAUAGACUUUCUUCAAGUCAACUUUAACCUGCCAUGUUCCCCGUCUACUAGUUUCCUCUGUAUAGAAUGAAUAAUCUCCGGAGCUACAAUAAUAUUUUCAAUAAUAUGUCAGUCUGGUACUAAACUAGUUUGAUGGGGGCCAAUGAGCUGAGGAAUAAUGGUUUUCAACUGACUUGCCACAAUCUUAGUCACAGUUUUGUAAGCCAUAGUACACAUGCUUAUGGGACGAUACAUCCUAAGAUUAAUAGGAUUAUCAUUCUUGGAAUCAGAAUUAGCAAAGUUGAGUUAAUCAACAAUACUCCACUGAAAUUGGUAAAAAAUGGCAUGAAGGCCAUCAACUUCUGGAGCUUUUAACGGCUUCAUGCUGAAAAUAGAAUUCUUGAUUUUGGUAUCAUCAACAAGCCCUUGAAGAGUGUGAAACACAAUCUCAUCAAUAAUCGGAAAACAUCCCAUAAGAAGGUAAGUGUCUUUACUAUCUUCACAAGUAUAUAAAGAUAAAAAGAAAUGAACAACGUGUUGUUUAAUUGCCGCGUUAUCAAAUAACCACUAUGCAGAUUCAUUUGUAUUAUUGCAAUACAAUUUCUUUGUCUUCUAGCAAUAGUUUUUUGGUAGGACUUAGUAGUGUUUCAGUGCCCGUGUAAUAGCCAAGCCUUAAGCCAAAAAUUUAUUCUUGAGACAAAACUUCUUCAAGCUCUUUUUUCAAUUAAAUCUUAAGAUGAAUAAGGCUCUCAGAAUAGUUAUCUUUGAGCACUUUUUAGAUAACCCCCCAACAAGCCAAAAUCUGACGCUUUCUUAUAAAAAUGUUUCCAAAUGGUCCUUAUUCUAGAUUGAGACUUUACCAAUGAAAUAACGAGCCCUUUGAAUAUAGAAAGCACCAGAGUUCCAUGUAUCAGCAACGAGAUCAGUGAACCUAUUGUUGGUAAGCCACGUUGCAAGAAAACAAAAGGGCCUCUUACCUUACUUAUUCCUCUCCUUCCUAUUGAAAUGAACUAACACAGGUUUGUGAUCAAAAGUGACUUUCGAGAGGUGCAACACUGUAUUAUUAGCAAAAUUAUCGAACCAUUCCUCAUUAGACAUCGCCCUGUCUAGGCAUUUAAAAAGAAACUUCGAGACUAGGUAAACCUUGGUCUGUUAAAAGGAAAAUCAUAUAUCUUUUUAGAAUGAAACUAGUUGUAAAACAAACCAAAAAAUAUACUAGUAUUUACAAAACCACUUUUCUUCUCUUAAGCAUACAAGAUAGAAUUAAAAUCACCACCCAUUAGCAAAGGGCCUUGAACCGCGUUAGCAAAAUUAUCCAAAUGUUCCCAGAGGUGCUUCCUAGAGAUGGCCAAUGGAUUGAACGGCACGGGCAUGGCACGUGUUCGCACAGCACAGCACGGCACGACACUAGCACAUUUUGAUGGGGCAUGCAGCAUGGUACAGCACACAUGUGGGCUGGGCCACACUUAGAAUUUUAGGCACGCGGACUUUAAAAGCACGACAUGAUUAAAAAUGGGUUAAGCAUGACAUAAUGAAAAAGGCCGCAAUAAGCAUGUUUUAUUUUUUUAAUGAAAGUAAACUUAAAAUUUUAUGAUUUUACAAAUAACUUGAAAUUGAUUUUUUUAAAUUUAUUUAAUUCUUAGUUAAAAAAUACUAUAAUUGAUUUAUAUUUUUAAUUUAUUAAAUAAAUAAUUGAUAUCAUGAUUUUAAUGAAUAAAAUUAUAAAUAUCAUGAUUUUAUAAAUAUGCAUUAAUAUUAUUGUGAAUUAUGAUCUAUGACUUUAUGGAAGUCCAAGUUAAUAUUUAAAUUAACCCUUAAGAAAAAUUUAUUAUUAUUGUUGUUGUUGUUAAGUAUUAAAAAAAUUAUAAUACUAUAACGUCAAACUUAGUAAUUGAUAUUACAUUCUCUUACUAUUAUUAAUUUAUUAUUAUUGAAUAUGGACUUGAGUUUUGAAUUUUGAUUUUAUUAAAUGUGAAUAAAGGUAUAAGCCUAAAAAAAUAUAUAUAGACUUGAAAAAAGUACGCUAAUAGUUUCGCAUACACUUUUAAAAAUUUUUUAAAAAAGAAAAAAAUCUUAUUGGGCUUUUCUUUUCAGGCACGGCAUGACACCAGCACGAGCAUGUAUAGACCUUACUUUGAUGGGCCGAGUUAGCAUGGUGCUGCCUAUUGGCCAUCUCUAGUGCUUCCUGAUAAUAGGAUAGGACUAGCGUAGAUAGCAGUGAUCCAUGACACGAAGUUGUUAUUCUUACAAACUUUGAAGUGAAUAAAUUGUCUAUGAUUGGUAACAAUUUCUAUAUUGAAAAAGUCCUUUCAUAGGAUCCAAAUCCCCUCAGAGAAACCAGUAGCUUCAACUCUAGGGGAUUUAUCAAAGCUAUUUCUUUUAAUGAAAUCAUCUGCUUUAUACCCACUGAUUCUAGGCUCUAGUAAAACAACCAUGACCGGCUCAUAAUUCUUGAUAAGAGAACCAAAAAAGCGACAGAAGACUAGCAAUGUCGCUCCAUAGACAUUCCAAAACAUAAUUGAUAAAGACAUCUAGAUAUGUACGAUAAAAGUACGAAACACCUUAUAAUUUCGGCCCUGAGGCCUUGAUCUCCAAGUCCAUAGGUGAUUCAUCCACAAGAGACAUAUCUCCAUCAGAAGAACCAGACUCAUCAUUAUCACUUUCUCUCAUAUAAUUGUUAUCCUUCCCAUCAUCAUCCAUGUCGCUAGUGAUAAUUAAGUGCCGGUAUUAGAGGGAUCAUCGGCUAGUUUAGAUGACUUAUCAUACUGCACACCAGUUAUAUUGUCCUUAGCUUGGCCACUGGAAGAGGAAGCAGCGGAAUUAUUAUUGGUAGAGGCAACAGUGGUGAAAGGGAUAGUAGAGUGGUAUAAAGGAUUGAGACUGGUUGGGACGAUAGUUGGUACAUGCUGGCUAGUCUGGUUUAAAUGGACGUUCGUUUUGCUAUGUAAGGUGUGUGGGAGUUGUACGAGAGUAGCAUCAAUAGCAUUCGGUUGGUUGGUAGUGUUGGGGCCAUGAAUAGAAAAAUCCGCACGUAUGACAAUGCUUAGGUUGGGGGUGGAAUUUUGGCUUUUUUUUUUUAAUGUUGAUUUCUAAGGACAAGUAGAAUAGUGGUAUUAUUGGAGGUUGGCACAUUACAAUUCAUGGUAAUUGGAUAUGACUUAUUAAUGCCAUGAUUUGGGUCCUCCUCAUUGACGCUGGCAAGAAUACCAAAUCGCGAUUCCUAGCCGAAAGAUCCCCAGUGACCACGCUCAGAAUCACGACCAAGCUCUCUUGCCUUGUCAAUAUGAGGUUUCCCUUUCCUGGAAACUACCAUCCAUGGCCCAAGUUUAGGGAUACUCUGGUUAUCAUCACUGGUUUUAUUGACCAUCUGCUUGCCGAAGAUGUUCACAUGUUGAUUUAGCUCCCCUGGGUUACCAUUUUCCUCCGUAUGAUUAGGGCAAGAUUCCUUAUUAUGGUCAUAUUUUUCACUCUGGAAACAAAUAUUAGGAAGACUUUCAUAUUCCACCUUCUGAGUUUUUCCAUCCAACAAAAACUAUAAAACAAGAGGUUUUUAAGAUCAAUUUCAACUGCAAAUACAAGCGAAAUUUCCUCUUAUUGCUGACUCGAUGUUAUAAUCAAUUCUGAUAACUGAUCCAAUUAUCUAGUUGAGCAUAUGAUGAAUUUUUUAUGAUAAUAAUGUAGAGCCAUGCACAACAGGCAGAUCCAAGCUAUAAUCGAAUCAGUUUCCUCCUUAGAACUAUCAAAGUGAGGAGUUCAUGGUUGCACCGUUAAAUAGCGGCCUAAAAUUGUCCAAGGACCAAGAGUCAAAGCAAACUCGGCAUCAUCGUUUGAUUUAAAGCGGACAACAUAAAAAUCAUUCUCAAGGUCAAUGAUAGAGAAACCAAAGGUCGAGCUCCAAGUUGCUUCCAAGCGAUUGCAGAGAGCUCAAUACCCUAUGUGACGUCACAAUAGCUUGACAACAACCGUAUGCUGCGAAAGCUUGAUAAGUUGGUCGUGAAGCUUUUGGGAGAAAGAGAUGGAGUGUAAAUUACCACAUCGUGUUCUUAAAAAAUCAAUUCAUCAUCAUGGCCAAUCAAAUCUGCUUCAACUUCCCUUUGUGAUUCCAUGAGUAUAUCCUUAAAAGAGAUAUGCUCAGGGUUGUCUCUAUCCUCACGUUGAGGCCUAAAUUUUGCUUCUUUGGUAGAUCGAUCAUCAUUUAUUGGUGAACUGAAGAUUUUUACUACUUGUAUCAUAGUUUUUCAAAAUAAAUGUACUCAUAUUAUAGCAUCAUUUUCUUAUUAUAUAAUCAAAAAUAGAAUCCAUUUAUUCAUUAUAUUAAGUUGUAAAUAUAUCUUUCUAUAUGUAUUCCUAAAUUACAGUAGACUUGGAUUGCAUAGCUUAAUUAUAGGGAUCCUAGCUUAACUAUAGGAACUGGUGGUCGUGUAUAGCAAGUCAGUCGUAUGUAUAUAUAUACUCAAUCAAAUGUCAAUAAAAUUAACUCUGCCCAUUCUACUUUUCGCUCAUAUUUACAUGCUAUCAGAGCAAGGACUCGCUGCACUUUAAUCUCUCGUGUAGCAUCUCUCUUUCAACCAUCAUAACCCUUGAGGAUAUUCCUAAAACCAGCCAUUCUGAUCCACAAAAAUCAGAGAUUUUUGCAGAUUCCUCCAAGGCAGAUCUCUCCAAUCCUUUUGCACUCACCAUUUGGAUAACCCUGGAUUGAUUCUCGUCUUCAAACCUCUAAAUGGGGAUAAUUACUUUGGUUGGAUAAGGGCUAUGGUUCGAGCUUUAAACUCCAAGAAUAAGCUCAGAUUUGUCAAUGGUUCUAUCAAAGUUCCUUCAGAAGAAGUUGAUCCUGAAGGCUAUGCGACUUGGUCGAGAUGCAACGAUAUAGUUCAUUCCUGGAUUGUCAAUUCUUGCGAUCCAGAAAUAGUUGACAGUGUGACUUUUUAUUUUACUGCUCAUUAGGUUUGGAAAGAUCUUUAUGAGCGUUUCUCUCAAGUCACAUCUUUGAGAUACAACGAGAUAUUGCUUUUCUUCGACAAGAGUAACUCUCUGUCUCUACUUAUUAUACUAAGUAAAAAAGUUUUUAGGAUGAAUUGGCAACACAUUCAGACAUAGCACAAGCCAAUCGACAGAAAUUGAUGCAGUUUCUAAUGGGUCUAAACAAAACUUAUAGUGCAAUUCGAAGUCAAAUCCUGCUCAUGAAUCAUUUGCCUUUUAUUCGCCAAGCCUACUCUUCAAUCUCCCAAGAGGAUAAACUGCGCCUCCUCAGUUCAACGCAUACAAGCACCAAUUCAAGUAGCAGAGCUGCCGCCAUGGCUGUACGCAGCAAGCUGAUUCCUUCGGCAACAAGAAAAACCGAACAAACUUGCUCUCAUGGGUUCCUAGAUUCUCGCGAUCGAACAUACUCUCAGGCGUAGGAAUUUGCAGGACCUCAAGAUGGAGAUCAACGUUGAUCUGGCUCUAGGAGAGGUAGGGAUUUGUGUGACCACUGUGGAAAUUUCAACCAUUGGAUCCAAAAAUGUUAUAAGUUGCAUGGAUACACACCGGGCCAUCUUAAAGCUAAAAUGAACUCAGGCCAAAAUUCAAAUCGGCAUAAAGGUAUUUCUAUGGCUGAUCAAGUUGGAGAGGUGUCAAACACAAAUGAAGGCUCACUUACAAUAUCUGAUGCUUAAUUCAAGCAAAAUGAACUCAGGCAUAAAGGUAUUUAUGUGGCUGAUCAAGUUAGAGAGGUGUCAAACACAAAUGAAGGCCAUCCUAAAGCUAAAAUGAACUCAGGCCAAAAUUUAAAUCGGCAUAAAGGUAUUUUUGUGGUUGAUCAAGUUGGAGAGGUGUCAAACACAAAUGAAGGCUCACUUACAACAUCUGAUGCUCAACUCAAGCAACUUUUGUCACCCCUGAAUAAUCAAAAUGAAGGUUCUCACUCUAAAGCAAAUGCGGUAACAAACCCAGGUUUGUCUAAGAUUGCUUCCCGAAAUUUGAUUAUUGAUAGCGGGGUGACAUAUCAUAUUACUUCAUCAUCUAAUUUAUUGCAUAAAGAUAACAACUGCUCGUUACCGCCCGUGUUGUUGCCUAGUGGAGAAAGAUCAAAUAAUGUUGCAAAAGGGUUUUUACCUCUCAAUUACGUCUAUUAUCUGCAUGAUGUGUUAUCUGUGUGUACAUUUAAGGUUGAUUUGAUGUCAGUUAAUCGUUUGACAAUAGGUUUGAGUUGUUCAGUGACGUUUUUCCCAUUUUGCAGGAUCUAGCUAUGAGGAGUACAAUUGGUUUAGGUAAACAACGAGAUGGGCUAUAUUUUUUAGUGGCAUUAGCGACAAAGCAAUCUGUGACAAAACCUUCCUCAUCAAACAAUCGACCAGUCUGCAAUCUCACCAUCUCAUCCACUGACCUCUGGCAUAAUCGCUUAGGCCAUAUAUCAUAUUCUCGUUUAAGCUUUAUUGCCAAGAACUUUUUGAAUUUUUCUGUUGAGUCUAAUAAUGCAUGCCUCAUAUGUUCGUUGGCUAAGUAAAGUCGUUUUCCUUUCAAUAACAGUGUUAUUUCUUCUACAAAACCUUUUGAAAUGAUUCAUUGUGAUAUUUGGAGUCGUUAUCGACACAUUUCCAUUACCGGAGCUUAUUAUUUCCUCACUAUUGUUGAUUAUUAUAGUCGUUCCACAUGGAUUUUUUGGAUGCGACACAAAAACGAAGCACAAUGUCUUUUAAAAAGCUUCUUCAACUAUGUUUCCACUCAAUUUAACUGUUGUAUUAAAACAUUUUGAAGUGACAAUGGUAGAGAAUUUAUCUCACUUAGAUCUUUCUUUCAAGAUCAUGGUGUUGUUUUCCAAACUUCAUGCGUUUACACGCCUCAACAAAACAGGGUUGUAGAACGCAAACAUUGCCAUAUCUUACAAGUAGCUCGAGCAUUAAAAUUCCAAGCACAACUACCAACCCAAUUUUGAGGCAAAUGUGUACUCACUGCUGUACACAUCAUUAAUAGGUUACUUUCACCUGUUAUUUCCUUCAAAACUCCUUACAAACUUCUCUAUUCAAAAUUGUCUUCCUUUUUCCCAUCUUCGUGUUUUUGGGUGUUUGGCCUAUGCCACUAAUGUUCACACUUCUCACAAAUUCGACUCUCGUGCUAUACCAUCUAUCUUCAUCAGUUAUCCCAUCGCUCCAAAGGGCUACAAAUUAUUUAAUUCAUCAACUAAAUAGAUUUUUACAAGCCGGAAUGUAAAAUUCCACGAAACCAUUUUUCCUUACUCAUCCGUCCAACCCAAAUUUUCUCUUCCCCUGACAGCCCAUCAAUCAAGCCCAAUUCAUUUAAUUACUUCCUCCAUCGACUCAUCAUUUCACUCUAACGUAAUUCCACCAAGCCUCAUUCCCUUAUCCCACCUCUCUCUCAAUUCUCCCAAUCAAAUUUUCUCUCCUCCUCCCACGGUAGCACCGCCGUCUUCCCCUUCCUAGGCCAUCCUUCGUACUUAUUUUCGUCGUCCUAAAUUUGUUGCCCCAUUAGUCUCAAAUGACCCACCUUUUUAAUUCCAAGUUCGACCAAAGGUACAUGAUAUCCACUGGCUAAUUAUAUUUCAUAUCACUGAUAUAAGCUUGCUUAUCAGUCCUUUAUUGUUCAAAUCAGUAAUCUCACUGAACUCAUGUCUUAUUUAGAAACUGUCGUUCUCCCUGAGUGGCAAGCGACCAUGCAUUCCAAAUUGCAGGAACUGCAAGAAAAUAGUACUUGGUCUUUUACCCCUCUUUUGGCUGGUAAAACUCCAAUUGGCUGUUGUUAGGUUUACAAGAUAAAAACAUAAGUUUGAUGGAUCCAUUAAACGGUAUAAGGUGCGGCUUAUAGCCAAGGGUUUCACUCAAUUGGAAGGAGUUAACUACCAGGAUACUUUUUCUGCGACAACGAAAAUAAUUUAUGUUCAUUGGUUGUUGGUGUUAGCUGCUACCCGUGGUUAGUCUCUUCAUCAACUCGACGUCAAUAAUGCCUUUCUUUAUAGUGACCUCCUAGAAGAAAUUUACAUGUCUCUCCCGCCAAGGCUUCGGCGACAGUGGGAGGAACACUUGGUUUGUCACCUCCACAAGUCAUUAUAUAGGUUUAAACAUGCAUUUUGUCAAUGGUUUCUUAAAUUCUCUGAGGCCAUACGUUCAGUCGGAUAUGUACAAUCAAAAGCUGACUACUCUCUGUUCACUAAGAAGCAAGGCAAGUCCUUUAGUGCCCUUUUGAUAUAUGUUGACGACAUUUUAAUCACUGAAAAUGAUCCUAUAAGUAUAAUCGAUAUCAAAAAAUUCAUGCAUAAUCAAUUUCACUUUAAAGAUCUAGGAGACUUGAAGUAUUUCCUUGGUAUUGAGAUUUCUGCAUCUAGGAAAGGUAUUUUUAUUUCUUAGAGAAAGUAUGCGUUGGAAAUUAUAAAGGAUGCAGGGUUAUUAGGGGCAACUCCCAUUGAUACUCCCAUGGAAUGUGGCUUAAAAUUGUUUGAUAAAAGUGAGCCACUCAAAGACCCAAGGCGAUAUAGGCGAUUAGUUGGAAGAUUAAUAUAUCUCACAGUUUUGAGGCCGGAUAUCAUGUACUCUGUCUAUAUAUUGAGCAGAUUUAUGCACCAACCCCGGAAGGAUCAUUGGGAGGUAGCCAUACGGGUUGUACGCUAUUUAAAAUCUGCUCCUGGCCAAGGCCUUUUCUUCUCCUCAAUUAGUGAUCUUUGGUUGCGAGCAUAUUGUGACUCGGACUGGGCAGGAUGCCCCCUUACAAGAAGAUCUACUACAUGGUAUUGUGUGUUCUUGGGCCCUUCGUUGAUUUUGUGGAGAUCGAAGCGACAGAAAACCGUCUCCCUUUCCUCAGCCGAAGCAUAGUAUCGUGCGAUGACUGGAUCUUUUUGUAAAUUAACAUGGCUUCAUUACUUAAUUAGAGAUUUGGGGAUUUUACAUCAAGAGGCUACAUUGCUAUAUUGUGACAAAAGGUUGCAUUACAUAUAGCAACUAAUCCAAUUUUUCAUGAGUGCACAAAGCACAUAGAGAUGGAUUGCCAUUAUACAAGAGACAAGAUACAAGAUGGUUGUGUGAUAACGAGAUUUGUGAGUUCCGCGAAUUAGCUUGCCGAUGUGCUGACCAAAGCUUUGGGAAAAGAAGUUUUCAUGCCUAUGGUUCUCAAGUUGGGAGUGCCAGACAUUCACUCUCCAACUUGAGGGAGAGUAUUGGAAAGUAGAAUCUAUUUAUUCAUUAUAGUGAGCUGUAAAUAUAUCCUUCUAUAUGUAUUCCUAAAUUACAGUAGACUUUGAUUGCAUAGCUUAAUUAUAAGGAUCCUAUCUUAACUAUAGGAACUGAUUGUCGUGUUUAGCAAGUCAGUCGUAUGUGUAUAUAUACUCAAUCAAAUGUCAAUAAAAUUAAUUCUGCCCAUUUUACUUUUCUCUCAUAUUUGCAUUAUAUAGUUGAUAUAAUACUUUUGAUAUAUUUUAAAAUUUCUCUAGCCUAGCUUUUGGCAUAACUUCAAGGAUAGAUUUGUGAAUUUAGAAAGAGAAUUAGAAAGGGGUUUCUUCUUGUAAAUUGUUCUUUCUAAAGUUUUUAACAAUAAAGAAAUAAACAUAUUUUUAGUUGGAAUUAAGCAACUAGGAGGUUGAACGAUCAAAAUCUGUGUGUACUCAUCUUUUUAUUUUGAUCUGUUUCUUUUAUUAUUCUUGCUUCGAUUCUUGUGAGCGUCAUCUUGAUCCUGGGGUGUUUAAUUUGUAUUGUAAAUAUAGAUUCAAACCCAACACCAAAGAGAAAGGCCCUUUUUUUAUUUUGGGUUGUUAUUCCCUGCUUUGUUUAUAAUCAAAACAAUAAGUCCUUUUGAUGCUUCAAACACUAGGCCAAGUUCUAUUAACUGUAGUGCUGCUGGGUGACCGAGGCUUCCUAGACAAACAUAGACUAGAGAAUCGACAUCUUGUAAAUCAUGCCACUAUAAACAUUUCGUCCUGUGCACCAAAUUUUAUCCCCUCAUACGUUUCAAAAUUUUUUUGACAUAGGCUUUUCCAAUUCCUCAAAUGUUUUCACCUAACCCUAAUGUCUUUCUGAAAUUCUUUCGUAUCUCUAAUGAUCCCACAUUGACAACACUAGGUAGCUGAGCUAGAUGUGGGCAUUAACAUAAAGUGGCCUUGUGCCAGACGUAAGAGCAAGACAAAUCGAUGCAGAAGGUUUACAGAGGCCAUGUGGAAGAGAGUUUAGUUUCUGCAAAGGUGAAGCUAAUAUGUCUUUGAGAAUUUCAGGUUGAGUGUCUAUCUUUUGUUACGUAUGACGUCAUGAGGAAAAGUUCCUUAUAACUCAGACUAAUUGUCCUUUAUUUUUUCUUCGUUGGUCUACAGCUCUAAAUUGCUUGAUACAAGUAUGACUGAAGCGCUGUUGAUAACUUAUUUUGCAGAACAUAAUAUAUUGAAUAAUCUUUGGUUUAAUGCAAAAUAAUUAGUUUUCUAUCAUACUGCUUAAGCUGGACGACUAUUUUAGAACAUAUGAAAUAAAUUACAUGUUAUAUUUUGCCAUUACAUGAUAGUUAAAGGAAUUUCCUUUAAAAAAAUUCAAGUACAUGGUAGAAUAUUAAGUCAUUCUUUGUAUUAUUAUUAAGGGAAAUUAUCCACUGUCUACCCUUUUUUUACUGUUUUUAAAAAAUACAUAAAUCUUUUUUUUCCAGCACUCCACCUGAAGUUAACAUUUUUUUCAUUAGUCCACACUCGUUAUAAUACCGUUAGAACUUUGUUGACAUCAUAAGGGUAAAAUUGUCAUUUUAUAACGACAAAGUAUUGGAAAGGUGCAAAACAAUAUAACUUCAAGUGGAGUUUAGCAAAAAAAAUAUUAAGUAUUGUGUAUUUUUGAAAAAAUACGAAAAAAAUAUGGUUGGUGGAUAAUUUAUCUUUUACAUUUAAGGGUUAAAAAGUCAUUUAUACAAUAUUUCGUUAGUUUUCUUAACGGUCUCCAAACGGAAGUGGAAAAGUGAAAAAAAAUGUAAGUUCAGAUGGAUUCCAGAAAAAAGUUGGAAAAAAUAGGUGGACGAUGGAUAAUUUCCCUAUUAUUAAUCUAGCGCUAGACAUGGUAGAAUAUUAAGUACAUUCGACAAAACACUUAUUAAUAAAAUUAUAUCAUAAGUUAAUAUUUGCAGUAUGAGAAUUAUUAUAAAUCAAGUAUUUAAUUGUCAAUAACAAUUUAUCCACCAUUGUAAUUACAAUUAAAAUGAUAAUUACAAUCACAAUUAAAAUAAUGUUUACAAUUACAAUUAUGAUAACAAUUACAACUGCAAUUGUAAUUCGUAAUUAUAAUUAUAACAUUAUAUACAAACUGCAACUGUAAUAAUUAUUGUAAUUGUAAUUGUAAUUACGAAUACAAUUGUCAAUGUAAUUCCAAUUCCAAUUACAAUAGUUGUAAUUGUAAUAAUCUUUAUAAUUAUUAUUUUAUUUGUAAUUGUCAUUGUAAGAGUUGUCGUAAUUAAAAAUGUAAUUAGUGAGUGUCAACUAGUUUAGAUAUUAAAAUCUUUUGUAUUGGAAUUUGGAAAUAAAAGGCCUGAGUUCAAACCGUGCUAACAUGGGGUGAGAGGGGAUUGGUUUGUCAUUAGUUGAGAUGUAAAAUCUCUUGUGUUGAAAAUAACAGGAUUGGAGGUUUGAAUUUCGUUCACAUGAAUGGAGAGGAGAUUGGAUUGUCAUUAGGCUAAACAAUUAAAAAAAAAAUUGUAACUAAAAUUAUUGUUGUUGAUGUCAAAAUUUGGAUUAGUCAGUUACUGACUGGAUACCAAAUCUCUGUGUCAGCAUUAUAUUUAUUUGUUUGGGAAGUGGCUUAUGAUCACUAGCAGAUAACUCGUAAACACUUGAAAUCACAAAGAAUGGUAAGAGGCGGUAGAAGUUUUUCUAGCGUGAACCCUCUGACACCUAAGUCAGUUAUCAGGUUUGCAAGAAAGAUAAAAUAUGUAAUUUCUAGUUUUUUAUGAAUAAAUAAUCUUAAGUAAAUGGAAUAGAAAAAUCAAAACUGAGAAAGAAAAUUGAACCUCCUCUUCGUUUGGAUUUUUUUGGACUUCUAUAAGCAUAUGGAAUUAUUGCACCAUCUUUAAUGCGUUGGCGUUACUAGGUUGAAUGUGUCGCUUAAAUCAUGAGUUACUACGAGCGUUACAAAGUAAUUAUUGAGCUGCAAUUAUAGUAGCUAGGCGUGCGUGGACAUUAUGCCUAACUUUUCGAAAGGAACCCGUCACUAAAACUUAAUUGGAAUCUUUGGACUGACCAGAUUCUGGUCUCCUCAAACCCAUCUGCUCGAGGUUACUAGAUUACCUCUUGGUGGAGAAGGUCUGCUCAAGGUCACUAGAAUCACCCCUCAGUCGAGGCGGUCUGCUUAUGGUAUUAAGAAUUACCUCCUGGUCAAGGUGGUCUGUUUGAGAUCAUCAAGGUUACCAUCUGGUCAAUGUAAUCUGCUCGAUGUUACUAAAUAAUAUCAUGGUUGAGAUCAUCAAAAUUACCACCUGAUUGAGGUUGUCUGCUCGAGGUCACCAGAAUUUUCUCCUAGUAGUCUAUCAACUAUUUGCUCACUCUUUACCUCGUUGAGAUCAUGAUCACUCUAUUUUAUUCCCCAAACAAUUGUUGUUGUAAUUAAAUUAUUAUUUGCUACAAAAUGACUAUUAGGAAGUGAUAUAAGGUAGCUCACAUUGUAAGAAAAAAUAAACCAGAUAGAUUCCCGAGAAAUAUUAGAGGGUUACAAAUGGUCCUACUUAAAAUUUAGAUUCUUUAAACAAUGUAUGAUACUAUGAUGAAGUAUUGUGAAGCUGCUUAACCAAAUCUUUUAACCAACACUCUCCAAGAUCCUCGAUUAGAAUCAACAAGAUGCUUAAGAGAUGAUAUGAAUUGCUAAUAAAGAAUCUAUGUAUGAACAAGAUGGUGACUAAUUCAAAAACGAUCAAAGAAUUAGCCAACAAAUCAAAGAAUCAUAAAACAAAGCUAUUAACGUGGUUCAGUCAAUUUGCAUUGACCUACAUCCAUGAGGGACCAAGAACGCCUCUCUCAAACAAGCUAUCUCUCUCUCUAUCUCUCACACCGGAAUUAGUCGUAUAAAUAGUUUUAACGAACCCAUAAACUUUUCCAGAAACGCAUGUGUUUACCACGUGAAUUAACGGCGUCAUAACAACUUUUGCAAAUCACGUGCGUUGCACAAGCUUCAUUAAACUAAAAACGGCAAAGCUUCUGGUCGUUUAAGCUAGCAAACUUAAUGCACAUCAAAACAUAGAUCUUGCAUGUCGUUUUGCCUUCGUCAUGGACAUACCAAAAACGCAAAUCACCUCUGUCGUUUUGAUCUCUUUAAUUUGCUUCAUGGAUAUAUGACCUUUAUGAUAAAACCUUUGUAAACUAUCUGAGCUUACUAAUUGAUAUAGCAUAUAUUAUUAAUUAUAAAUUACAAUACUAUGUGAUAAUAAAUAUAAAAACAUAAAUAUGAGGCUUGGAAAGGUACAAUGUUUUUAAAAAAGAUUCACUACCUUUUCAACAAUACUUAGGUUAUAUUGGUGUCUGAUUGCCUAUCUUCUAGGAUGAUUGAAUUUAGAUCAUCUCAAUAUUACAAUUUUACAAUUUUAGCGAACUUCAAAUAAGUAUUCCAUUAAGUGUUUGAAUUUUAUCACAAGCGCUAGAGAGAAUUUGUUUUAGAGGGAGGAGGAAAAAUCACUUUGACUAAAGCAUUACAGAAAUGAGGUCUCUCCAGAGAUUUAUAAGAGAUGGGGUUUCCUCCAGAGCCCGCAAUAAGCGCCUAUGACACUUCCGGUUCCAUCAGAAACUCUUCUAAGCCCGCAAUUGGGAUGUUCAUCAUGUCGAUGUUGUCUUUCAAAGACAGAGAGGCUGCUGCUGCCGACGUACUAUUAAUUAUUUAUAUGUUGCUGAAUAAUAAAAUUACUACUAGUGCUGAAGAGAAACCAACAAAGACAAAAUGGUUGGCUUGUGGUCAUGAUCAAUGGAUUAAAUGAUUUCUUUCUUAAUCCUAUAUUCCUAUGUAUGUAUGGGUCGUCAGUUUCUGUAGAAGUACUAAAAAAAUAACUUGCGUUAGAAAAAAAUAAAUAAAUAAAGAGAUAACUAAUGGAUAAUAAAUGAAUGGCUUAAAACUGUUUUUGUCCUUCAAUUGACUAGGAUCAUAGACUUCAUUUUCGGUCAAUAACCCUUAUUAAUAGUAUGGUGAGAAAUUUUAAAAUAUCUUUGAAGUAUCACGUCAGUUAUAUAUAUAAUAAGUAAAUAAUAUUAUAAUAUAUAUAUUUAUUUUUAAAAAAUUAAUAUAUAAUUAUUAAUUAUAUAAAUAUUAUAAUAAUAAUAAUAAUAAUAUUAAUAUUAAUAUUACCUCAAAUAUAUUCUAAAAAAUACAAAUUAACUGCCGACCCAUACGAUCAAUCAAGUUGUAACUAGUUAGCUACAUAGCUAGUGACAUAUGGUGGACCUCUCGAUUGUCGCUGUGAUUGCCAUGAUCAGCACAAUUCACGCAUAAUGUUGUGGUGGGACAUAAUAACUGACUUGCUCAAGUCGUCGCGGGUGGCAGCGUUCAACUUUUCAAAGUCUUGUGCAGAAAACAUACGAAAGCAUUUGUUUGCAAUAGAACCGCGCGGCUUUGAAAAAAUAAUUUAAUAUUAUUUUUUUAUUUAUUUUUUUUUUAACGAUUAUUCUAUUUGAUUAAGAGGAAAUACUUAAAAAAAUGAAAAAAUAAAGUAAAGUUAAAACCAAAAAUACUUUUUUAAUUAUUUAAAAUUACAUUAGCUAAAUUAACACCACAUAAAUAAAAGUGCCAUAGAUGCACCUUAUCUAAGCCAAAACUUAAAAAUCUAAGGCUGAUAUAUCAUUGCGAGGCCACUUGGAGAAGGAGCAGAAGAUGCAUCACAGUAGCCUCUCAGUAUGUUCCCUUCUUCGACAGUGAAUCCGAGAGAGGUGAGCAUUGCAAGCCAGUAAUUACGGGUGAUAAUAUCAAUAGUGUGGCAACAGUCAGGGCUAAUAUCAGCCUGGACAUUAAGGAAUAAUAUAAUAAUCUCAUUUGAGCAUGAUUUCAGCUCCAUUAACGCGUUCUAGUACUUCGUUAGGCCUCCGCUAGCUUCAAGUCUUGUUGCAAGAUCGUAGUCUGAUUUCAUAUUGUUGUUGAGGCGAUCAUUCCUACUGGUUGCAUUUGCAAUAUUUGUCAUGAUGAGGCAAGUGAAGGCCAAAAUGAAAAACACAUGUUUUAGAGCCAUUGUUAUUUUCUGUUCUUUUAUGUUGUGUUUAUAUUUAUGUAGGAUAUCAUAUUUUUUGUUGCUAUUUAUAAAUUAAGGUGAGGCAGAUGAGAAGAGUGAUUAAAUUAUUGCUUAAUUUAUAAUCAAGAAGGUUUCAAUUAAAGAAGAUAGUAAGUUUUUUGAUGAAUUGUUACGUAUUGAUUGUGUAAUAACAGUCAAAUUAAUUAUGAGAAGAUGAAAAAUCAAAUUUGAAAGAAAAUUUCUCUAUUUAUUAGAUAAUAAAUAAUAUACAAAGAUGAUAAAUGGUGAUGCCACAUCACCUCUUGUAGUCCAAACUUUAUAUAAAUAUAUAGAUUAUACUAUAAGCUUUCCAAUUCGACUAGAAUUGCUUAGCAAGCCUGUUUUAAAAAGUUCAAUUUUAAGUCACCGGCAAAAUAAUUUUGUAACGAUUUCCAAUUUUGUUCUUAUCUUCAUUUCGGGACCGCCUAAGUUACAAUUAAUGUAACUUACAGCCAGCCUGUAAAAAUUCACCAAGCCCCCUAUACUUUAUGUUAUUUAUAAUUUACUCGUAAGUAUUAUAAAAUUUUUUGUAUUGUAAUAUUUCGUUUAACCCCUUACACUUAAUUUUAUUUUAUUAAAACCCAAGAGUAGAAUUCGCCCCCUAUAAUUUUAAAUUUCCAAAAUAACCUCCACUUAAUUAAAAAACAUAAUUAUUAUCAAAUGAAUUAUAAUUAUAACUAUUAUUCUAUUAUAAUCAUAAAUAUAAUUAUAUUUUUAAAUAUAUUAUUAUUGUUAUUAUUAAUAACAAGAAUAAAAAGUAUUAUAAUUAAUUAAUCUAUUAACAAUAAUUAAUAAUAAUUUUUUUGUAAAAUUUUUAAUAAUAAUAAUUAACGAUAAUUAUUAAUAAUAAUUAAUUUUUGAAUAAUAAUAACAAUAAAAAUAAUAAAAAUAUAAAAUAAUAAUUAUGAUAAAAAUUAAUGAAUGGUUUUAUAGCAAUUGGUUAUAAUUUAACUCAUUUUGAUUUUGAUUCUAAGGCAAAGUAAACAAUAAAUGGUAAUAAAGCUCAUUUUAAUUACGAUUCCUGCAGUUCAAGUAAAUAAAUUAUUCAAUUAGAUCACUCUAUAUUAUUUACAAUUUAUUCAUAAGUAUUAUGAAUUUUAUAGUGCAUUCACUAAACAUGAAUCAAAUUUAGCCGGAAACAAAAUGAAUUACAAUCAGAAAAGUUAGAAUCAAAAUGACUUUAAUUAUUGUUAUUAUCAUUCAAAAAUUAAUUAUUAAUAAUAAUUAUCGUUAAUUAUUAUUAUUAUUAACAAUUUAACAAAAAAAUAUUAUUAAUUAUUGUUAAUAGAUUAAUUAAUUAUAAUACUUUUUAUUCUUGUUAAUUAUAAUAAUUUAUUUAAAAAAUAUAAUUAUAUUUAUGAUUAUAAUAAAAUAAUAGUUAUUAAUUAAAUGGAAGUUAUUUUAGAAAUUUAAAAUUAUAGGGGAUAAAUUCGUACUUUAGGAUCUCAAUAAAAUAAAAUUGAGUAUAAGAGGCUAAAAAAAAUUUUAUAAUUCAGAAAGUUUUAUAAUACUUAUGAAUAAGAUAUAAAUAAUAUAUAAGGGGCGGGAUGAAACUUUACAAACUGGCCGUAACUGUAACUUAGGCGGACCCCUUCAUUGAUUGUACUUUGAAUGGAAAUUCUUUCACACGUUCUCGCCUUUAUUGUUUGUUUUGUCUCCAUCCAUGGAAUUUCCUCCUUGGAAAUGAAUGAUAACCAAUAUCCGGUGGCCCUUCAGAUUUACAAAGACUUGCAUAUGCAAUUGCGACGAAUUAAUUAAUCGUUAUAUCUUUUUUUUUUUUUUUCAAUUUUAAUUAAGUGGUUUCAUCACACAGUAUUUAACUCAAUUGAAGAUUCUUCAAUGGCCUAAAAUGAUUAUAUUUGUUUUUAAAACAAUAAUUUGGGUUGUACCUAAUUAUGAUCUAGAUGAUUGUUGUAGAAUCAGACAGAAAAUCUCUCAUCAUGAUUAAUUCUCUCCAAUGAAAAAAAUUUAAAGAAUAUACAAUUUAAAGUAAAACCCAACUAGAUAUCGAGAGACAAAUUAAUUUAAACAAUUAUAUGUAUUCAGCUCGUCACAAAAUUGAUUAAUUAAAACUAUCCUGUAAUGUAUGGAAUAUGGUCACUUUUGGUAUGCAACUCCCUCAGUAGGAUGCAUAACUGUUUAAUAGGUUAUUUUGUUAAUGGAUGAUAAGGUCUGUACCAUAACAGAUCUAUCGAUUAUAUAUAUAUAUUAUUAGUGCUUUUUCAUUGAUAAAAAGCUUAAGAAUAUUAUAACAAAGAAUUAAACUCAGAUACAUUCUGAAUUCAAUUCAAUUACAAAUAAGAUGCAAGAAAAGGAAAAUCUAAGGUAGCACUUAAGGAGGCUAAUAUGAUUUAGCAAUAUCUGAUCAUCAUGUAUCAUCUCCCUUUCGGAUUCAGGAUCUCAGAGAACACAGCUCCAGUAUACUUAUCAGAACUUCCAGUAGAAAGACUUUGAUCAUCAGUAGCAGUAGUAGUUGAUAUGGUAACCGCACUAAUGGUUUUUGAAUCUGAAAGUACAUGUUUUCCAACACUAGAGAACACGGAACCACUACCAUCGGUUUCGUAGUUGUCCAAAAUUUUUUCUUCCUCCUCAUUCUCAUCAAUCUCCUUUGCAAUUGCAAUACUACUUUCCUGCAGCUGCAAUGCGAACUCAAGUCCCCAAACCACAUCGCUCAUCGAGGGCCGUCUGAUUCCUUCGUCAUUCAAGCUGCUCAUCGCUACCUCAGCAAAUUUGUUCAAGCACUCUGGCUUUAUCUUACCCUUCAAGAAUGGAUCAACAAUCUGAUCAAUUGUUCCAUUUUGAAAACAUUGUUGUGCCCAAACAGCUAAACUCACUUGUUUCUUAUCUGCUGUCCGCAGAAUAGGUGGCCGAGCACACAAUACUUCGAACAACACAACACCGAAUGAGUAGACGUCAGAUUUCUCAGUAAGCUGCUGAAGUCGGUAGUACUCAGGAUCUAAGUAUCCGACGCUGCCCUUAACAACUGUACUCACAUGAGUUUUGGACACCGAAGUUGAUCCAAAUUUGGAGAGUCCGAAGUCGGAAACCUUGGCCACCCAUUUCUCGUCCAACAAGAUGUUGGUUGUCUUCACAUCACGAUGAAUGAUAACAGCAUGGUUUGCCCCAGUAUGCAAAUAGUGAAGCCCACGAGCUGCACCAAUGCAGAUUUCAAGCCUUUGAUUCCAUGGAAGAGGGGGACUGUCGCUAUGGUAGAGAUGAUCACGUAGGGUCCCACGAGCCAUGAAAUCGUAUACAAGGAUCAUCUCCCUGUCAUCGUUGCAAAAGCCUAUCAGAGGGACUAAAUGAAGAUGCCGGAGCUGCGAGAGCAUUCCUAUCUCAGUUUGGAAUUCCAGGGCACCCUGUUGCGACUCUGGUUCCAGUCGUUUAAUGGCAACAGGGGUAGUGCUGCCAUUGAUGAAGCCUUUGUAGACAUUACCAAACCCUCCAACUCCAAUUACGAGAUCAUUGUCGAAGUUGUUUGUACCCGCUUGGAUUUCAGAUAGUGAAAAUUGGGUGCAAAGAUCGGAAGGAAGGAAUGAGCCGCGUGAUGACUUGGUUGCCUUGAUAGUCUUAGAAGAAAUAAAAGUCCCCAAAAGUGAAGUACCUGUACCGGAACCCGAGUCCUUGACUUUUCUUCCUCGCCAGAAAAUUAACAACAAUAGAAGAGAUAGCACACCAAAGCCUGAUAUAACACCAGCAACCAUCCCGGCUACAUUAUUCUUCUUAGUCGGUUCUAUUGUUGGAGACGCAUCCAAAUUAGGUGGGAUCGUCCGAGGCUCAGGAUUAGGUCCAGCGAGAUUUCCAGUGUUGUCCACUUUAAAGAUUUCAAGGCCGUUCAAGAUAGCAUCAGAGUAUUUGGUCCUCCAUCUGGGGGCAGGGUGCAGUUGAAUAGAAAGAUUCUGCUUAAUAUUUUCUUCAUUUGGUUUUGGUCCUAUCGUCACAGCAUAAUCUCUAUAUACGGCAACACCAUUCGCACCAGUCCAGGCUAUCACAUCUGCUUGAACUUCAGCAGUUAAAUUAGCAAUGAAGAUCUGGAACACCCUAUCGCCCUCUUCAGUUACCUCUAUCUGAAACUCACAAAAAUGAAGCCUCAGAAAAUAUGUAAAGCCCGAAUCCACUUCGAACUCCCAAGUGAGAUUAUACUUCUCGUUGAUUUCCCUAUCCUGCCCCAUCGUCCUGGCGGUUUUGUAGACCAGAUCUGGAGCAGAGUAAUUACGUAUCCAAGUGAGAUGAAUACUCUGGUUAACGGGAAGAGCACUUGGUCUGGCAUCUGUCAAGUAGGGGUCGUCCAUUUCCCAAGUUCGGUACAUGCCGCCGGUGUCGUCUGACGGUGAUAUUUGUUUCCCGCCGACGUUUAUCCGGUAUAAAGUCGCCAGAGCAUUUAUGUUUAAGAUACUGUAUGGGUUGUCCUGGCCAACAAACCUGAACCCCCCGCCGGGAUCAUCGGCCGCGGUGUAAUAGAAAUUGAGGGGCAUGGAUAAAAUCUCAAUUCCAUUGAUAAAAGCAUAUGAAUCGUUGUAAUCCGGACUUGGAGUGAAGGUUAUGUUCAAUAGCCUCUGAUCGUCUUCGAUGUUAAUGCAGAAUUCUUUGAAAAAGGGACUGCGGUCGUUGCCAUAUGCUGCAAGUGAAGCGCUAAAGUUUCUUAACAGAGUGAAAGAAGCUGCUUUUACAGAGAAGAAAGCUGCAGAGGUAUUGAACCCCGGUUUUGGACUUGGAUAGAAAUGCAGGCGGAUGAACUUUUGACCGGCGGUGACGUUGAAUAUGUAGGUGAAUUGCGAAUGAGAAACGCGUGAUUUUGAAUAUGGGACUUGUUUAUUUUCAGUGACGAUUGUUGAUUUGGGAGCGGAUGCGUCUUCAUGUGGGGAGUAUUGAGAGUUGACAUCUCCAACCCAAGUCUGGCCGGGAGGACCCGUGUUGCCCAACCAGCCACAAGCAAGAAAUAUGUUGCUUUCUGCUAGAGGGUAAUUAGAGUCACCGGUGACGACAACAGCUAGAUGAUGGCAGGAGAAGAAGAAAAAGAAGAAGAAGUGGAAGAUCUUUCUGUAUGUCUCCAUUAAUUUUUUGACAAUUAAUUAAUAGGCAGGCUGCGGCUAUAGCUUUGAUUUUUCGGAUAGCUAGACAUUUAAAGGUAGCAAAUUUUGUAGCAAUAUGUCCGUCUCUGUCAGUUGGGACCACAGGCGCCUUGGCGUUUCGGGCAUGACAAUCAAAAUGAUGGAAAAAUUAAGUCUUCGUCAACUUCUUAGUCUUUGCCCUUUGGCAUCAGUCCAAUCUUCUAUCACCCGUAAGGCACUUUCCAUGGCUACUAUUAAUAGACUUGUUUUGAAAUACAAACUUAUAUACAAACAUACACUGAAACUUCGUUGUAACCACAAAUCAAUCAAUUGGAUUCCAUAAUUAAAUAUACACUUAACAACAAAUCUAGAUUGGACUUGAAUGUUAAAUUAGUGUUCGGUCACUAAAUUAAAAAAAUCUUGGUCCAUAAUUGGUUAUUUUAGAAAUACAACAUGUUUAGCAGUUUAUCGAAAAGUUGAACUAAUUAUAUUAGUGCUGCAUUUACUAAUUAGUCAUCGGAAUAGACUAGAAUUGAAAUGAGCUUGAAAUUGAAAUGGCCUAGAAUUAGAAUCAGAAAAAAAAAAUUAAAAUAAGUUAUUUUUUUGAGUUGUAGGAAUUGGAAUCGGAAUGGAAAUAAAAUUUAUUUCCAUUGACGUGUUUAUUUUGUCUUGAAAUUGGAAUAAAAAAUACCCUUUUUUAAUUAUUGUUAAUUGAUGAUUAAUAAUAAUAGUAAUAAUAAUAAUAAUAAUAAUAAUAAUAAUAAUAAUAAUAAUAUUAUUAUUAUUAUUAUUAUUAUUAUUAUUAUUAUGAGCUUAAGUUGCAAAAAUAGCCUAUCCAGUUUCUAUUGUUUCUAUUCUAUUGUAAGAAAAUAUCUUGGGCAUUACACUUUUCUAUUUUUUUUUGGCUUAUUUCAUUGAUAAAUUUAAUUUAAAUGGAGAUAAACUUGAAAAUUCUAACUAACUAUAGAAUAGAUAUGCCUGAUUUACAACUCACAUGUUCUCUCCUCUUAUUCUGCUCUUCAUUAAUUUUUGUAGGUUUUUGUGACUUUAUUUAUAUAUAGUCGAGAAUCCAAAUAGUAUGAUUAAAAUAAAAAAUCGAUUAGAAGACAGGUUGGCUUCCAAUUAGGUCAGAACAGGGAAAAAAAAAAAAAAAACUUACCGAUCACUAUUUUACGGGUGAGUUCAUGAGGAAAAUAAUUAGGAGUUGCUUUCUAUUGACCACCGGGACUUGCACGGCUGCUUGACUUGUACAAUUACUGUUGUUGAUUUUGCACGACCAUCGUUAGCAUGCUAGAAUUAGAUUGGAUUAUAUAUGCUUUUGUCUUAUAUUUUGUAUAGUAUAAGAUUAAAUUGGAUUAUAAAAGUAAUAUGUUAUUGGAUAUUAAAAUCACUUACAUAUUUAUUUAGAAAUAGGACUACUUACAUUUAAAAAAUUAUUCUGAACACACUAAUUUUAAUAAAAGUAUAUAUUUAAAAAAUAAAUUAAAUGCCUACAAAUGCCUCUAUAAAGAACAUAUAUUAAUUCAUUCACCUGCUCCCUCCCACCCGCCUUAAUUAAUUAUCAAGGCAACACCAGUCUCUGUCCAACGAGUCACUUUUUUUUUUUUUUUUGAUUACAUGAGACUAUUGCUCAGAUUACAACUCAUAUUACAUGAGAAUAUAACUGAUAUGUACAAAUCAGACUAUAAUUGGGACCAACAUACAUCAAAUCUAAUGGAGCGCUGCCUAGAUUUUAACCAUCUCAAAUAUUCGAGGGAUGUCUACUCCUCGCACUGGGACAAGGAAGCAGACUACCUUCACUCAAUUUUAUUUGAGGAAGGAAACACCCUCACAUGCAUUGUGGGGGUUCGAACUGCUGCUCUCCAAGUUGGAGAGCAGCAGCUCUAACCACUCGGCCAAAGGCCGAGUG